UGUGCUUGGGAGUCCUUGAAAAUUGAAUAAACCAAGAUCUUAUCAUGACUGCAAUUUUAGAGAGACGCGAAAGUACAAGCCUAUGGGGUCGCUUCUGCAACUGGAUAACCAGCACUGAAAAUCGUCUUUACAUUGGAUGGUUCGGUGUUUUGAUGAUCCCUACCUUAUUGACCCAACUUCUGUAUUUAUUAUCGCCUUCAUUGCUUGCUCCUCCAGUAGAUAUUGAUGGUAUUCGCGAACCUGUUUCUGGUUCUUUACUUUAUGGAAACAAUAUUAUCUCUGGUGCCAUUAUUCCGACUUCUGCAGCUAUAGGUUUGCAUUUUUACCCAAUCUGGGAAGCAGCAUCUGUUGAUGAGUGGUUAUGCAAUGGCGGUCCUUAUGAGCUAAUUGUUCUACACUUCUUACUUGAUAAUGCAAGUACUAACGUAGGUACAUUGAAUGCGGACAAUUCUUAUCAAUGUCAAUGACCGUAAAAUAAACUUAUGACCAAGAAUUUAAGUGCCCAUCAGUACGGGUCGUAUCUAUCGUGUUGUUUCAUGCCAAUAAGAUAUCAGUACAAAAUCCUCUAUUUUUUAAAUUAGUAAGUAAUUUUUUCAAUAAAGGUUAAAAAAUUUGACAAAUAUAUAUAAUAAAUAGUUAGAAUAUUUUAUUGCUAGAGAAAAUAAAUAUUUCACGCUAUCAUACGUCGGUAUACAUGAAUUUUUUGUGACUGGCACACAUAGACACGGUCUGGCACGCACCGUGCCGGUAAGUUUCCGGCACGACUCCGUACCACGGCACUUAAAUCCUUGCUUAUGACUAAUGAACUAAAUUUCGAUAACCAUUUACUAACUGAAUUUGGCCAUUUUUAAAAUAUUUACUAAUUUAUAAAAUUCAGUUAGGUAGCAAUUAAUGACCAGAUUCAAUGCAUCGGGUGAGAUUAGCACCGUAAUGAAAUGAGGUAAUAAAAAAGAAGGAAAAAAAGAGAAAAAAAAAAGGAACAAAAAUAAAAAACCCUAGUUGAAAGGAAUUUGGGGAUUUAUAAAGAGAAGGGGUUUUGUUGUUUGUUGUUGGUGUUGUUGUUGUUGUUAUGCCUUGGCGAUAAGAUGUGGGGAGCUAAUGAGGCACUUGGCGCUCCAGAGGGGGUCGUUGAGAUUCGCGCCGUGGGCCUCGAGCUCCGUCGCCAGCCCACCGUCGAUCACGGCGCACCCCCCCGCCUCCCGCAGGAACUCCCGCAUCACAGCCGUCGGAUCCUCCCCGCUCCCGCACCCCAUCCUCCUCUCUAUGCGGCCACCCCUCACACACGCACACACAGAGACGAAACAGUAGAGAGAGAAAACAGUAGUAGUAGUAAUUGUUGUAGUUUUAGAGAGAGAGAUGGGGCGACGAAGCGCUCGCACAUUUUUUAUAGAAAGAGAAGCGUUUGGACGCGGCGAUUCCCAAAAUGCCCCUCCUAAGUUUAUUAAGAGGGACCACCUGGAAAAUGAGAGGGACCACUUCGAAAUUAUCGGAAAGGAUGAGGUGGCGAGUGGAAAGUGACCGCUCUUACAAGCCACGUGGCACCUGUAGUUUUUCUUUUUCUUUUUUCUUUUUUCUUUUUUUUUUUUGGAAAUAUGUGACCCCGUACAGACACGAAAUUGCCUAUGUAUGGGCUUUUUUUUGCAAAUAGCCCCCUUAUAAAAUUUUUUUUUUAAAUUGGCAAUGUGAAAAAUUUAUUUGCAAAAAUGGUCCUGGUCCCGCCAUGCAAGCGCCACGUCAGCGCCACGCGGGCGGGGCUGGGCCAGAUGGUUAAGUUGAACACGGUGAAUCAUUCACCGUGUUUAAUACAAAGUUUUUGUAUUGGACACGGUGAAUGAUUCACCAUGUCCAAUACAAAAUAGCUAAGGUCGAAAUAUUUGUAUUGGACACGGUGAACCAUUCACCGUGUCCAAUACAAAUAAUUGGACACGGUGAAUGGUUCACCGUGUCUAAUACAAAUACCUCAAACUUAGUCAUUGUUGGGGUAUUUGUAUUGGACACGGUGAACCAUUCACCGUGUCCAAUAUAAAAAUUUUGUAUUGAACACGAUGAAUGGUUCACCGUGUUCAACUUAAACAUCUGAGCCCGCCCUGCCCGCGUGGCGCUGACGUGGCGCUGGCGUAGCAGGAGCAGGGCCAUUUUUACAAAUAAUUUUUGGACGGGGCUAUUUUUGUAAAUAAAAUUUGUCAGGAGGCUAUUUGCAAAAAAAGCCCUCUAUGUAUACAUCUUGAACGGGCAUGUCAACGGAUCCGGAUUUUCAAAAAUCCGAACCAAACCAGGCUACCAAGCGAAAAUCCAAAUUCGAACCCGAAUCUGAUGAGUUUUUUUUAAAAAAUUUGUAGUUGUUGUGGCAAGAGUUUCGAUUAAUUUCAGACCUUUAGGAUCUGUAUCUAUUCUGAAGAUUCGAUGCAUUUGUAUGAGUUUCUGAUGUAUGAUUUUAUAGAUUCGCAAUGGAAAUUUGAAGUUCCGCGUUGUGGUUCCAAGUAUGCAAGGUGUGUAGUUUGAUUUGAUCUUAAAAACUUUUUUUAAAUAAAUGUUUUGAGUCAGUUUUCCAAAUAUUUAAAAAAUUUACCAACAAAAUUUUUAGAUAAAAAAAAAAAGGCCAGGAAAUUUAGAUAGUUUAAUUUGAUUGCUAACAAACGUCAUCAGCAACUGGGGAGAUAUAAUGUGAAAAAAAAAAAAAAGAAAGAAAAGAAGAAUUACACGUCAAGCAAUCAAGGAUUAAGUAGAACUAAAAAGAAGAAAAUGCAUUCUACUAAAAUAAGUCAAAGAUAUAAAUAAAUAAAUAAAUAAUGUCUUUUUGUAACUAAAAGAAGUUAAAAAAAACAAAAAGAAAAAAAAAAGAUAACUCUAAAUGAAGCAAAACUCUUUUUUCCCCCUUUUUAUAGUAAAGGAUUAGGUUGAAUCAUAUACGAAAUGUAGAAAGAUUGUAUUAGAUCGAAUAACAAUCAAAAUUUGCAGACAUUAUAUUCAGAUUCUUUAAACAAAUUAGUUGUAUCUUUAUAAUAGCUCAAGUUUUUAAAAUGAACAAUUAGCGCCAACGGUCAUACAAGUGGUAUCAAAGGUCUGAGGGUGCAAAUUUGUGUAGCUGCUUGGGAGAAAAUUAUUGACUAAAGUAGCAGAUUGAAUCGAAUCGAAUCACAAUUGAAGUCUAUAAGUGUUACGUCUGUACGUCUUAAAUGAGUUAGUUAUAUUUUUCUAAUAGCCAACGAUUCUACAUAUUACAAACUAUGGACAUUUAAAAAUGCGAUCUGCGUAACAACUACUGAAUUAAGCCAAUAAAUGUUUUAACGAAGCAAUGGUUAACUAUUUGUUUUUUUUUUUUAAUGCUCAAACACUCAGAGAAAAAGUUGUAAUCCUUAUCUAUGUGACAUUAAUUAGGUACAACCCUGUUGGAUCAAGUCAAUAGUAUUAGCAAAGCUAAUUUACUAUAAACAAAUUAAAUUUAGCAAAUCUAAGUUUAAUAUUAUUAUAUUUAAUUUAAUAAAAUAUGAUGAUUGUAUCGGUAACAUCAAACCAUUGUUUAUGCAUUCUAGAUGGAUCUACACUAAAAUUCAGAAUAAAUCACAAUGAAGGUACAAUCAUGUGAUUGAGUUGACACCUUUAACUUUUUCGUACGAUAAAACGCACCGAGAUAAUUAUGAAGGAUUAUAAAAUUAUUUUUAUAAAUUAUUAAGUAAAAUAAUUUAUAAUAUUUGAUAGAAAAAAUAAAUAUAAUCAAAUAUUUAAAAUAAAAUAUUAUAUUUAAUUUUAUUUUUUUUGGGGGGGGGGGAAUAAGAUAUAUGAAUAUAUGUUAUCCUAGUAAAUAAUUAAUAUUAAAAUAUUUUAAAAGCUAAAAAAAGAUUAAAUUCCUUAAUUUCAAUCACAUUACUGAAUUAUUGUUUUUUAAAAGCUAAAUUAUAGAAAACCUUCCUGUCAAAAUUCGAUUUUUCACUUUCCCUCCCUAUCAUUUAAAAACCUACACUUUGCUUUCUUACAAAAUGAAAAAUGUUCACAGGGGGUACAAUGUGAACUUGGAUGAUAAAAUGAUCAUUUUGCCUCUCACUAUUUUGCUCCUCAUCAUGUUCACAGGAAAGAAGGCUGAGAAUAUUUUUGAUAUAAAAAAAUAUAUAAUAAUAUUUUAUAAACGGAACCCUAACGGAUUACUAACAGUAAGGGACGAAGUGAACAUUUUUUAUUUUAAAAUGGGGCAAAAUGUAGAUUUUUAAAUGACAGGAGGGAAAAGUAAAAAAGUAGGUUUUGACAAGAGGGUUUUAUAUAAUUUAGCCUUUUUUAAAUAACUUAUUCUAAGGUUUAAAUAGAUCUUAAAUCACUAGUAUUUUGUGACACCAAUAUUUUGGAUAACUUACAACAUUUCAAAAUAAAAUAUUAAAAUUGAUUAACAAUUCUAUUCUUAUGAAAACAAGGGUGAUGACACAUCCUCCAUAUAUUAUAUAAUAAAAAAAAGAAAGGUCACAAGCGAAACAUGGAAUCCUUAAAAAAGAAGAAAAGGACGGACGUGGAGGAUUAUGAUGCGUGGAUGUGAAUUAGCACAGAUGCCUAAGCAAACAUAUCUCAUCAGGUGUACGGAUAAGAUUACUCUCUAAUUAAAAUAGAUUUUAUAUUUUUAAAAUAAUAAUAAAGAAGUAUUAAAAGUACUAACUGCGUUUAGUAUAAUUGGCUAAGAAUUUAUUGUUUGAUACUAAUAAUUUUAAGUUUGAAGUUUAUUUUGUGUUUCUAUCUGAGUUGCAGAUAAUUUGUCAUCUGUCUUUGUAGAAUUGAGUUCCUAUGCUUUUAAAAAUAUCAAAUUAUUGGUACUUAUAAAUUUUCGGCCUUUAAAUUAUAGGAUGUACGCUUAGGAUAAUAGUGCAUCUCGAAGAUUGAGCGGGUAGUUGGUUGGAAAGUAUGAACUAAUAGGUAGAAAUGGUCAAAUGCGUAGAUUUAACGGCGGAAAACUUAAAAACAUCAAAUACUUUGUGUUUUUAAAAGCAUAAUUGCCAGACUCUUCUUUGUGUUAUAUAUAGAGUCCUACUAUUAUACUCUUAUGAGUACGAUCACAUUCGUACUCAUAAGUUGUUUUCAAUGAUAGAUCUUCCGAAUCGAUGAUUCAUAUUGUUAAACGUUAUUGAGAACAUUUACAGUUUAUAAUUUUUUGACAUCAUUUACCUUACGAUUAAAAAAUUUCAAAAUUGAUAAUUUUUAACGGCCAAUGUGAGAUACUUGCUAGUUCAACGGUGUAACCGUGUAAAAGAAUACGGAAUUGGUUAAAGUUUUAAUAGAAAACUCUAUUCACUAUCCAGAUAAAGAUCAAUAACUUCGUUCUUAAAUUGAAAGAUCCAAUCAUCCAUUUUUAUGACGUUGUUUGAUUUUAACCGUUCAUUUUAUGCCUACUUGAUGGACUUUAUUAUGAUUUUAAAAAAUUACGAAAUUUAUUUUUUAGAAGUUUUGAAUUCUCUAGAUCAUAUUUAACGGAAUAGAUUGUCAAUUCGGAAGCUCCAUCAUCGAAAACAACUUAUGAGUACUAAUGGCCCUAUACUCAUAAGAAUAUAGUAGCCCUACUAUAUAUAUAUAUAUAUAUAUAUAUAUAUAUAUAAUAUUGAGCUUCUAUAUUUUUAAAAUACCAGUUAUUGGUGCUUGUAGAUUUUGACUAUUGGAUUAGGGAUGUGCGGUUAGGACGAUGUGGUCCGCUAAAGUUUGAGUGGGUGAUUGUUGAAUAAUAUAAUCUAACGGUUGAAAAUGAUCAAGAGAGUAAAUCUAACGAAAAUUUACAAGCACCAAGUGCUUGGUGCUUUUAUAAGCACCAUAGCCGGACUCUAUAAUAUAUAUCUAUAUAUAUAAUAUAUAUAUAUUUAUAGUUGAGCUAGAAUUAAUGCUAUCGAUAGCAAACGGGCUGCAUUUGUUUUUUAUGAUGGAGCCUCUAAAUUGACGAUUGGCAUUGUUUAGCAUGAUCUAUACCACUGGAAGUGUUUAGAAAUCAAAUUUCAUAUAUUUUCGAUAUUGUUCUCCUAUCCAUCGAGUGGACAAAAAAAUGAACGGCUAAAAAUAAAUAUUUUUUAAAAAAUGAUGAUAGGAGUCUUGUAAUCAAGAUCGAGACUAUAGAUAGAUCUUGUUUUAAAUAGUUUAAAGAAUUUUCUAAUAAAAACUCAAUUGAUUUGGAUAUCUUUACACCGUUAAACGAGAAAACGUCUCAUAUCGACCGUUAAAAUUACAAAUUUUGAAACCCUUUGAUCAUUAGGCAAAUGAUGUCGAAAAGAUUUGAAAUUUUAUUUGUAAACAUUUCAAGUGGUAUAGAUCAUAUUCAACGAUGCCGAUCGUCGAUUUGGAGGCUCUAUCAUCGAAAACAAAUGGGUGGCAACGGAGUCCGUUUGCUAUCGAUAGUAUUUUAGCUCAACUCUCUCUCUCUGUGUGUAUAUAUAUAUAUAUAUAUAUAUAUAUAUAUAUAUAUUGAUAAGAAUGAAAAAUUUUAGAAUGCAGUUUAGAGUUUUGAAGUGAAUUGGAUGAAAUAAGAUUAGAAAAUAAAAUCAACAACGAUAAGAAUUUAAAUAUUCGGAAGUGUUGGGGGUUGGAAGAGGUUUAAGUAAUCAUUGGAAUAUUGAAGUUGAUUUAUUUUGAUUCACAAAGCAAUCAAUCUUCUUAUAAGUUUUUUCUUUUUCUUUUUCUUUUUUUUUUUGAUCCCAUAUUGAUAAGAAUGUCAAUCAGCAUGAAUAUCCAAAAUUUUAUCUGAAUUCGAAUUUGAAUCCGACCGGAGCAGAUUUAUUUGACACUAAACGAAAAUAGUUUCGGAUACGGAUAUAAACAAUGAAAAUACGAUGGAUUUGAGUUUAGGUAUGGAUUUUGUCUUUGUAACGACCCGAAUCCAAAUUAAUUUUACAUUAUAUAAUAUAUAUAACUGUUUGAUAUUAUAUUUGAAUUUGUAUUUUAAAAAUUUAGAUUUAAUUGAUAUAUUUUGAAAUAUGGUGAAGAAAAAUAAUUGUUUCCAGUUCGGAUUUUUGUGUUCAGGUUUUGGAUUUUUGGUCGAGUUCGGAUUUCAAUGUGGAUUUUGAAAAUCCGUCGAAUUUGAAUUCAGAUUCCGGUUCAGAUUUUGGAUUUGGUAGUUGAAUUUGAAUUCUUGAAAAUCCACCUCGAAUCCGACCCGUUGACAUCCCUGCGUAUUUAAAUCUUCAGACCAUGUGGAUUUUUCUUUUAAAGCACUAAACCCAGGCCAAUGGGCUAACCUGUUAUUUCUUGUUUAAAAAGAGGCUCUACAUGUUUUGAAACUCUUGACACUUAGGGCAAUGUUUGGUUCCUCAGAAAAGCAUGAAAGAUUAUUUUUUAAGAAAAAAAAUUUCAAUGAAAAUUUCUCUUUUCUAAUUUUCUGUCCAUUUGAAUCCAAAGAAAACUAACUUUUAUAGAAGUUUUUUUUUAAAGAUUUCAUAAGAAAGCUAGUAUUUUCAUUUUUCAGAUAAAAUAUUCAAAAAACAAAGACUACUUUUUCAUAAAAUUUCAAAUAAAAAAAUUUACCAGAAAAAAAUAAUUUUCCUCAGAACCAAACCAGUGGAAAAUUGGAAAAGGGAGGGGGGUUUUCCGUAGAAAUUUUUUUUUCCGGAAAAUAACUUUUCAUGGUUUUACGACGAAACCAAAGUCCCCUUAGUUAAACAAGCAAUAAAAUAGCAAAAUAGACCUAAAUGUUCAAAUCCAUCCAAAGAUCACAAUGCUAAUUUCAAAACAAAAAGGAAAAAGGAACUCCGAGAGGCGAAAAACGAGAUUGAAUGCGACAGAAUAUACUGAGAUCAUAAGGAAUAAUGAUCAGGUUUUUAAUUUUACAUCCAUUACAAAGCAUUUAUUUGUUGAAUGCGAGAAAGCCAUUCUCGACGAACCACAGGUACAAGAAGAAGACCACAGCUAUAAAUACAGUGCAGAUCUUAGGUCAAAAAAGCUCACAAUGAAUGCAGUGCGAAAAACACCUUCGCCGGGUCGACAAUACAACACAAUUUUGGUCGAGAAACAAACUCCGGCAUUUCAAAUAACCCAACAACUCAUGGCACCAAAACUCUUCAUGUCAUACACGAGAAGCGAAGGGGAGACAGAUGGAAAAGGGAAGGCGAAAAGGCGGGGCAUAACUACGGACCGCGAGCCCUGAAGAAACAAAGGCAACCGCCCGCCUGAUCAUCAGGUAUCAUGCCGCCACCUUUGCUCGUGUCGAUCGCCUCCAAGAGCCGAACGACCUCGUCCAUAUCGGGCCGUUUGUCCGGGUUCGCAUCCCAACAUUUCCGCAUAAUGUUGGACAGAGCACUCGGGCAGCACCGAGGGAUUUCUGGCCGUAAAUUCUGUUAAACAAACCAAAAUUUUUUUUUAUAUAAGAUUACUGUUGUUAAUGAAGCCCAAAUAUGCCAUUUGAGACACACAUACGUAUUAGAACCUAAACAUAUUCAUAUACCGCUAGACAUCAAUCGAUUGAUAAUUCCCCCGACUAAAUUGGCUCUAUCGAGGGUUUAUGCGAAAAUUAAGAUUUUGCAGGGGUAUACACAUACAGAGAUGAAAUAGCUGAGUAUGAAAGACAUAGCUAGAAAACCGUUCAAUUACCUGACCAACUAUGGAUUAUUAAAGAAAUGAUACAAGGAAACGAAGAUCAACUCGGGGGUUUGAAUUAGAGAAAACGAACCUGUCGAACAACAGCAGAGGAAACAUCGGCAAAGCUGAGGUCAGGGUACGGCAUGUCGCAGCAGUAGAUUUCCCAUAAACAAAUGCCGAAGCUGUAGACGUCGCAUUUUCUAUUAUAAGGCUUGCCUUCGAGGACCUGUGCAAUAUAACUUAUAAGACUCGGUGUAUUUAUAAAGCAGAAGUAAUUAGAAAACGCUACGCCUCAUGCUUACAUUUUUUGGUUUAACUCUUUUUAAACUCAAAUUCUUUGGUUCUAUACAACUCUGGAUUUGUUCAGCAGAAAAACAAAAUACAUCUAGUAAAAUUUAUUUAUUUUUUUUAACUGUGUCAUUUUCUUUAGAAGAUUAGUCGGAAUCUAACCAACAACAACAAGAAUGGAGAAGCACAUCUACAGGCACAUAAAAUCACAUAAAGAGUUUUGAGUUAAAAAAGGAAAAAGAAAAAGAAGAAAAGGAAAAGCAUAAGAGGUACGAACUGCGGUCCUAGUUUAUUAUUCAGAAAAACAGUUACAAUGAAAAUUUGAAAGGGAAAACCAGAGGAAAUAUUUGGUCUGGUAACUACCUCAGGAGCCAUGUAGCCAAGUGUACCCGUUUCACCAGUCAUAUCCUUCGGAUUCUGAGCCUCAACACGAGCAACCCCAAAAUCAGCAAUUUUGAGGUUCCUAUGCACAUCCAACAACAUGUUCUCGGUUUUGACAUCCCGGUGCACGAUCUUUCUCGAGUGCAGAUAGCUCAAUCUGGAAAGGAGCGCAUAAGUCAAGGAUUAAUUAUACUGCAUAAUUUCAUGAAAUGGUAAACACUUUCAGUAGCACCGCUUACCCUCUAGAUAAAUCCAACGCAAGCUGAACCACAAUCUUGUAGGCGAGUUUUCUUCUCCUAUUUUUUAUCAGGUACUGCUUUAAAGUUCCCCCAGGAAGAUACUCGACAACCACACAACAUGCUCUUGCUGGAAGGUGAGUAGGGCUGCCACUGGUGGGGUUCUUUGGUGGGAUCUUAAGGUCCGUAGUUCCCAUAGAUGCACCAACAAACUGCAACAAAGUAGUUACAUUUCUAUCUGUGUUACAAAUGAAAAGCAAAAGUUCCUAGCGGGAACACAAAUGUCUAACAUAGUACAUAAAGCAUAAUCGACAUAACCAUAUCUAGGUAGUUGACAACUGAGAGAACACAUUACAUAAUAUAUGAAAUGAAGGGAUAUACAAAUGUAUGUGUAUAUAUGUUGGUAAGUAUGCGUAGGUGUGUGCAUAAACUAAUAAAUACUCACACACAUGUUGUCUAUCUAAUAUGUGUACCAUAGGCUGGCCACAAGAGCACUGUGAUCUACAUGUGUCUCGGUGAAUAGAAGCGCGUAUGCAUGUUUGAGCAUGUAUUAAUAAUGCUUAUGUAUCGUGUGUCAGUGAUUAUGUAUCAAACAAACUAACAAAGAAGCAUCCUCAAUCCACAUGUAAUUGAAUUGCAAGGUUGGCUACUUAAAACAUGAUGCUCACCUUUGUGACGUUUGGAUGAUCAAGCUUGUGCCAUACAGCAACUUCUUGCUGAAAUGAUGCCCGAAGAGCAGCAGUUUCAGUAUCUGUGGCAAAGCCAUCUUCUCCCCAGUCCAACAACUUCACUAUAUUAUGCAAAAAACAGUAAUUAUGUAUUACAGACUUUGGUGGCCACAAUAAUAAUAGAAGGCUAGUUAACAAUUGUUUCGAAAUGUUUCUGAUACAACGAACAUAUAACUACUACAUCAAUACAAAAUGAUUUACUCUCGAAGAUAAAUUCCUAGUCUUUCUUUUUAAGAUCAAGUAAGCAUUUGGAAGACAUAAAGUUCCUACGAAGGUCUAAAAAAGGACAAUUAGCAUAUCAAAACUGAUCAAAGUCCUACAUCAUGGCAUAAAACAAAGUAACAAACAAUGCAAACAAUGAAAAUCACAUGCAUAACAAAUGCCAUACAUAGCAGACCGCAACUACGUAGUUUGCAAUACAGCAAGCAAAUGUAACCUUUGCAUGAAAGCGGAUAUCAUAAAUUAAACUUAAAAAAAAACAGAAAAUAUAGAACAAGAAACAACUCAAACUUCACACCCAGAUAUGCACAUAACUAAUUACAAAUACUCCUGACAUUUUGAGAAUGCUGAAAGUAUAGCUAGUUAUGGAAAUUCCUGACAUUAGGUUACGCACAACCAAGAAAUGAUAAAACUAAACAUCUACAUAAUUAGGCAUUUAAAUAAUACACGUAAUCUACGCUUUGAAUUUAUGUAAAACUCAAAGUAUUAGUGACAAGAAACUUUCCAAGAUUUAACAACAAAUUACCAACCGAGCAUCAAUCCUGUUGAAAUGGUCACAAAAUUAAUUCGUCUAUUAUGCAACUCCAGAAAAGGAGGCAACAUUUGAGCUUUUUAAACUACCCAAAGCUGUUAAAUAUCAUUAUAUAUAAAUAAUGGAGAAAUUUUUUCCACGGUAUACAUAAGUAACUCUUUCCACCAUUACCUCCCUAACACCUUUUAUCCAAAAAUUCUUCCUGAAGAGGCUGGGUAUAAUAUUAAAAACUUGAACUAAGGAAGCCAAAUAACAUGGUAGAAAAGGAUAAAUUGAUCGAUCUAGGCAACUUCUAAAUGCAUUAGCCAGAGCAGUGGCCAAAAUCAGUGAUAAGAUAUCAUGUGAAGCAUUAAAUCAUGUUAAUUUAUUACACAGCAUAGAACCAACUCUGAAACUUAACAAUUUCCGAAAUUUUCAAAAGGAAAGAGGAAGUAAUUACCUGCAACAUCCUGGCCAUCAUAUGUUCCCCUGUAAACAGUCCCAUACGUCCCUUGGGCUACAACAUACCGAACUUCGAGCUUUGCUAGAUCAAUCUCCCAUUCUUCUUUGGGCUUCUUCGCACCGCCACUGUUUUUGGUCCAAGCCUUAUUGAACUGCUGCUCCAGCUGUAUAUCCAAGCUCUUCAGAUCAAUCUUAUCCGCCCUGAAGUACAUAUCCUUACUGUCGAAGCUCGCCGAUCCCUUCAAUUUCGCCUCAUUCGCAUUCCCAACAUCAAAACCCUUCGCGUCACUCAUUUUGCCGAAUCAAAGCAAUGAAAAAGCUAUAAAAUCAACGCCCCAGUAGGAACAAAACCUAUAAAAACUCCGAAAACUCUAUAAUUCUCUUCGAAAGGUCCAUAAUCCGACACAAACUACUGCGAAAUCGAGAGGGAACCAAGAAAGCUCCCUCCUUUACCAAUCAAAUCCCCGGAAAAACGCUACCCAAUAUCAAAUUCCCCCAAUCCAACACCGUUUAUAAUUCAAAAUCGCAAAUUUAGCUAUGGGGUACUAGAAUUGGACCCUAAAUCGCAAUACCCACUACUCAAAAUCGCAAAUUUAGGCCUCGGGCAUACGAAUGGAACCGUGAUAUGGACACUUAUAAAGGAGAUCAAAUUGGUGUGACCGAAAUUCCACGCAAUUCCAAUUGAAACCAAAACGAAUUCAAAGAAACCAAAAUUGGAAAUAGGAUUGAGAUAGAGAGAGGGGGAAGAGAUGUUGAAAAGCCCACGAGGAAAACGGACGCCGACUUCGUUGACCGUAGAGACGACGAUACGAGAAGAACACCUCAAACCCUCUCUCUCUCUCUCUCUCUCCCUCUCCCUCUCUAAGCUCUCUCUCUCUCUCUAAUCUCUCUCUUCUUUCUCUCUCUACCUUUGUUGCUUUGGGGGGGGCUCGAUUUGAGGGUUUUGAAGCGUUGAAUGGGGGAGGAGAAAAAGGGGUUGGUGGAGGGGAACUAGGAUUUUCCCUGCACCCGGUGUAUACUUAGGGUUCAUGCACGGCCCCGCCCAAUUUUCAAUUGAUAAUAAUAAUUCUGAGAAUCUUAUUAGAUUAUAUCUAAUUAUCUUGAAAUAUUAUUUAUUUAUUAUUAAUAGAUGUCUAAAUUUUACAAGCUCUUCUCUUUAGGCUUUUUGAGUAUGAUAAAUUACAUUCUAAAUAAGAAUUAAUUUUAUUUAGGUCCCUAUAAAUAUAGUGAAUUGUGAAUAUAUUUAUAUAAAGUUCAAUUUUCAUACAUUAUUUCUGAAAAAAUUCUAAUAUUUUCAAAUAUAUCCCUACCGUUAGAAUUUGUUAGAAAACAUAAUAUCUAAUCUUAAUUAAUUUAUAAGAUAACUUAUAUUUUUACCUCUUUUAUAUUAUACCAUUGUAGCUUUUGGAGAGACAUAUUUGUGAUAGCAAAAUUAAAAUUUCACUUAAAAUAUAAACAAUUCUAUAACGAUAACAAAUCAGAGAAAUAUAUUUAAAAAUAUUAGAACUUUUAUAAAAGAUAAAAGUUAAAUUUUAUAUAAAUAUAUUUAUAGUUUAAUAUAUUUACAGAAGCUUAUAUGCAUUUAACCCUAAAUAGGGGUUAACCCUUGAAAUAAAUAGGAUUACUGAUUUUAAGUGGUGUUGUGGUUUGUAUAUGAGAUUCAGUUAUACACCCGGUGUGCGGGGCGUGACGUCACCUUGCAAGUAAGAGUGAGAGAGGAGAGAGAAAGGGAUUUGAGGAUUAGAAGUAGAAUGAUAAGAUAGGUAACAAGAGUGGGGCCCACCAAGACCUAGAAGGAGACUCAGAAAAACUAAUUGUAUUCUCACACUUUCCCACUUAAGAAAUCAGUGAUUUAAAGUGUGUCAAUUUAGUGUCUUAUAUUUUUUUUUUUUAUCGAUUUUACUAAUUUUUUUUGUUAAAUCAGUGACAAUUAGAACUAAAUAAUACUAAAAGAAAUAUUUGAUAAAUCUAAAUGUGGUAUCUGAAGUUUUUUUGUAUAUAAUUUAACAAAAUAUUAACGGAGAAGCUGACGAAAAAAUUAAAAUAAAACCACGAGACACUAACUUAAUACACUUUAAACUAUAUGGUACUAAAGUGAGAAAGUGCAAAACUAUAAAGGUAGCAUUUGAAAUUUAUCUAAAAAUAAAAGUGAAAAAUAAUAAAAUUUACUUCAACUAUAAAUUACUUCGAUUCGAUAAUAUAAUCUUUCAAAAUUUUAAUUCUCUAAGUGUUUAAUUUAUUUAAUUUAAGUGAUUUGGUGGUUCUUGGGAUAUAAAAUUUAAAAUAAUUAUUUUAUUACGUAAAUUGUAUGAAAUAUUUUAGCUAAAUUCGUAAAGAUAAAUAAUGCAUUCAAAUUUUAAAUUAAAUAGUCACAAAUUUAGUACAAUUUGGACACGUGGCUCGUUGCCAAUGGUCUUGAGAGUGACAUGGCCAAUUACACAGCCUAGUGAAUGGAAAUUGGUAACACUUGCUCAUUGGCUUUUACAUAUUUGGCCUUUUUAUAUUUUUAUUCUUUUGAGAAAAAAAAAAAUAGUACUUUAUCUUUUCAUUUAUUUAAAGAAUGAAUUUGGCUACGGAACCGAGAUAACUACACUGGACAGAAAGAGACAAAUAAAGAAACAAAAAAUAGAAAAAAGAAAGGCUAAAUAAUUAACCUCGGAGAUAAAGGACUAACUAAACUAAAAAAUUACUAUAACGGUUUUAAUCUCGACCAACAGCUAAUCCAAUAUAGCAUUUUUUUUCCAAAAAAUUCUUCUAAUUCACUGGAGCCACACAAUCCACCAAGUAACAGCAAUAGUCGCUAACUCCUUUGUAAAAGAUUUCUCUGCUUCUCCCGAACCAUUUUCAAUUCUUUAAGAGAAAAUUCUCAAAACUCUUUUACAUUUAUUUGUUUCCUUAUUUUUCAUGAUAUAGAUCGCGAACAUUCAUAUUCAAAAAGGGAGGUGUCCUAUCAGACAAGGAUGAGACAAACAAGAAGAGCAAGCAAUAAGUCACUUGCUAAGGUUGGACAAGUUUUUUUUUGAGAGAUAGAUAGCACGUUACCCGCUUCGUGUAUUUCAUUUAGAAAUAAACUUAGCUGAAAAUGUGAAUCAACUAGGAUUCGAACAUGGGUCUCGGGUACCAACCACCAAACUCUUUGCCACUUGCUCUAGGGACGGUCAGUAGGUUGGACAAGUUAACAGCUUCGUUUGUGGAGAAUUAGUCAGCUAUGAAUUGGAUAAAAUUUCUUACUUUGGACAGCUAAUAAGGUUAUGCUGGAGCAAUUUCUAACACAGGUAACUUUGUUGUUACUUUGAUACCAUUUACCCAAAAGCCAUACUAGUGGGUACAUUGGAUAGACCAAAUCAUCUGAGCAAAUCCAGCCUGACCUAGCGAUCUGAAUUCUGGCUUAGUUUUUCUUCUGGAAGUUUAGUAAAGUCCAGUCGGAAACAAUCUUUCAUUUCUCUUAACAAGCUUAGCUUAACUUUGAGAGAUUAUCUCAUUUGAGCGGCCUAAUCAUUUUGGACCAAACAUUAUUUAAAACAGCUACGAAAACUUCAAAUGUGACGAAACCUGAUUUGAGCAAACGUUAUCUUGCCGAACCACUUUGCAAAUCGAUUCACGCAGUUGGAACUACAAAAAUUUUGAUGUCCUUGUUUUAGAUGCUUCUUUUACCCUAACCUUAGGCCAAUUGUAGGCAAUUUGUAGCCUAAUCCUAUUAACUGGCCUAGGAAUGGGCAAUAGCUUGUUGUUGUUGGUCAAUGGUCAUAGGAGAGACUGUUCCAAGCUCCAAUUUUCUAAGAAAUUGAAUUGACUAGUGAAAAGGUGGUUUGUCUCGACAUAAAGCAAGCUGUGAGAGAGAGAGUGAGAGAGAGAGAGAGAGAGAGAGAGGGGGAUAAAAAGACUUGCUAGAAAAUGUUUCGCUUUCACAUUUUUGUGCUACAACCGAGUUUUUCUAUUGCACGAGUGUGGCACAUCAUAAAUUAAUGUCAAGCACAUUGUUGGGACUUUUGAGCAUCUACGUAACAGGUGGAUUGAUGCUACACACUAGGCCCCUAGAAAUUGUUGUAAAAAUGAAUGUUGGAUGGAUUAUGCAUUGAUCGUUUGAUCUUCCAGUUGGAUACUUUGAAAAGGAUUAAGGUAGCUUCCUUUUUGUGGAGUUAAAAGAUGGAGACCUCUCUCGUAGCUUUCGACUGAUAAAAAGAAGGAUAUUCCAUCUCAAAACCCACCCCUUUUUCCAGAGUUCAAUCAAUGUGAUGAUCUCACACUGCAUGCUCUGAUCAACCAUAUUUGGUGGGAAUUUUAAGCACUUCAGUUCCACCUAAGAUAUGUAACAUAUAUAAUAAGAUAUUAAAUAAUAAACACUGCUACAUGUGUCAACAAUGUUAUUUAUAUAUGUUGUGAUGAGUUGACACUCGUGAUGUGGAUAUUAUCGAGUGAUUUACACAGAUUUUCAAAACAUUACGUAAAUUUGCUGACUACAGACAUUUUCUUAGGGUGUUAUACAUAAAAUUUUUCUGCAUGGGAUAAUUCUGCCGCUCAUCAAUUGCAGAGGGCGAUCCUAACGGCUGGCGUAUUAUCUGAAAAUCAAAAAUUUUCUGCACACAGCAGCCUUUCAUUGUCACUGUAAUUACAUCAUAAUCACCUCCAGCAUCAAAAUUCAAAGUCAUCGCUUAUGGCUCGUGCGCAAAUUGCAUUGAAUUAAUUGAACUUGGCCAAUAAUCUGUUUGAUGUAACUAAGAACAAUUUCAAUAAUUUAAUGAGCAUCAUUUAUGCGACUUGAAUGAGUCAUUCAAAUAAUUCAAACGGAGCAUUUUCAUAAGAUCCAAUGAUUCGUGCAACUAUCAACGAGAAUAAGAUCUAUGUGACGUAAACGAGACUUUUAGGGCAAAGUUUUUAAUCAUACAGGGGAAAAUAAAAGAACAGAAGUGUAAUGACAGAUGCAUGAGGAAGAGAAUGCAGAACAAGUAGAGACAAAGGCGACUAGAAUGCAUGUGUUGAAUGUCUCGGGCUGAAAUUGAAUAAAAAUAGUGUUUACACUUAUCAUCUCAAUGAAAGCAGCUUCAUUCUUUGGUAAAGUAAAAGUGAAUAAAGUAAUUUAACCUUUCGCCAUACGAGACCAAUCUAUUUGAAUCUAAAUUUUUAAGUUCCAGUACAAAAGGAGCACAAAUUGCAGACCUUUUUCUUUGGUGUGCUGAUUUUACUAUAAAUAACUUAUUUAUUUACAAAAUAUUUAUUAUGGACCGGUAAAUCAUACAUGGUAGCAAAGUGCGAAAAGAUGAAUCCAAUUUCAAUACAAACUCCCACUUCAAUUAUUCAACGCAUAUUCUCACCUGGACAGGAAUUCUUUCCUUGGACCAGGACACCUGGAGAGCAACUUUGUUCCCUCCUUGCAUUGAAUGCUUAAAUAUGUACUAAAUAAAUUUGUAGUCGACAUCCGAUACCGUCAGGCAUUUCCUGAUGCCAAUUUGCAUUAUUUUUCCUGGAGAUAGAAAAAUUAUGGGGCUCAGCAUAACACAACUACUAGAUAAAAUUUUGCAGGUAAAGAUCAGUGGUCAUCAAAUUUACUUUAGGGGCUGUUCGGCACCCAGAAGUGGAUUGGAUGAAAUUAGAGGAUAGAGCUAUAUUGGGUAGGAGGGUUUAGUGACUCAAAUGCAUUAGGGGUUGCGAAAGGGGAUCAGGUCAAAUAAUCCCACUAGGCUGGGAAUAUUGAUCCCACCCAAGAGGUCAGGACUGGGAUUGAACAAGAUUAAAUUCAGAAAUUCUGUUGUAUCCACUGGACCAAGCCCUAGCGCUGAGAACCUUAGCGCUUAUACCAAGUUGUUAAAACAACACUCUCCUCCGACAUAACUCUCUAGUCUUAUUCUAUCCAAUCCAAUCUUGAGCGUAAUAAAAGGGCCUUAAGAUGUGGUAUCCCAGGAAGAAGUCACUAUUAACACAGCAGACAUACCUUAACAGUGAAAAGGACGCUUGUGUCAAACACUUGCUGCCCAGGAGUAACCUUUAGCCCAUCGACAAACCCAGCACGGGGCGACUUCACAACAUGCUGAAAAAGAGCAAUAAACAAUAUAAUUAAUUGCUUAACAAAGAAAGGACAAGGGACGAAACAGGUUAUUUUCCAAAUACACCACCGCAAAUAUGCAAGUAUGUGAAACUACCUCCCAAAGAUGGUAGUUCUGUGCGUGCCCUUGAAAACCUUUUUUUUUUUUUGCAUCAGUGACCCUGACAGGGGUAUCAUCUAUGCAGAAACUGUUUUUGCAUAGCUGCGCUAGUAGGGGAAUGUCCGCAAAUGAGCAAGGUUUUCAAGGUUUACACAACUGUAUGUAGGUAUUUAUACAAUUUCACAUGUUGGAGCGGUUAAUAUAUAGAAAAUAGCCGGAACAAAUAAAAUUAGAAGAAAGGAGCACAUAUGAACCUCCAUCUUCAUUGCUUCUAGGACCAAAACAGGUUGUCCUUCCUCCACAGAGGCACCAUCCUCAACCAGAACCUUUACUACUAAGCCGGCCAUGGGUGCCAAGACAGUCCCUUUAGGAUGAGACGAAGUCUCAAAAGAAGGUUUGGAGUGGGAGACAUCAUCACUGGGUUGGUCAAACUUCACAGUUUGCCUGUAAUGAUGAUGAUGCUCGCCAUGCCAGAUAUGUAUGUGUGUGCUACUAUCCUAAUGGCAGCGAAUCAGCAAAUCAAUUUAAGAGAUAAUGAAAUAAAACAAAUAGAUUCAUCAAUUUUUAUGAAAAUAAAAAAGAUUUUAGGAGUAAUAACAUUAUAUUUGACAAGCAGACCUUAGAAUAAGAUGCUAAAGUAACAUUCAUAUGCAGACCGCCAGCUUCAACUCUGAAAUAAUUGUUUCUUAUGUGCACAGCUUUGACAUCCAAAGCAGGAGAAUUACUAUCUUCAAUCUGGCCAUUGAGAGAAACUGAAAUGUCAGAAUUUUCAGAUCUCUUAUCACUGACAAAAAUAGAAGUGAGCUCGAACAAUUUGACGCAUUUAUAAGAGUAAUAUAUUACCGUGAUGGAAUAACUUCCAUCGGAUUGAUAUGUAAUGGCAAGUUGCAAAAGCUCAUUGCAGAGGCCAUCAAGCUCUUUAUCCCACUCAAGUUCCAAUACACGUUUGGCUCUGUGAUGCAUUCUGAAAGGUGGAUGAGUAUACCACAAAGAAAGUAAAUUGUCCCCACCUGCAAUUAUUCGAUAUUUAACACAUCGAUAUCUUUUACCACAGCCUGCAUAUCUGCAGACAAACAGGAAUUACAUAUACUAUAUAUAACAUACAGGGAAGAGAUUCUCCUGAAGUGAUGUAUUCCUUUUCACAAAUACAGGCAGCAACCAGUGUAGCACCAAGCUUAGCAGCAUUAGAUGCUUCUUCAGUUAGUUUUUCAGCUGAAUCAACUAGAAGAUCACUUUUGUGAUGCUCGAUGAAAUGGGUUUCUACCAAGCCUCUCUCAAAGGCCCAAUGACCUGCAAGCCCUUGGAGGAAACCAAUAUUGGUUGGCAAACCUGCAAUCUGCAGUGGCCAUAGUCAGAGUUGCCUGAGGCAGAGAAAUUAUUAUAUACAUUAUAUUCAGAUGCUUCAAUAUAAAGCGAACAGCAUGAAAUUGUUCACGAUACAAAAAUAUAUCGAAAGUGCAUCAUUCUGGAAGUAGAUUCUCUACCUUAAGAUUAUACAAGACAACUAUUAGUUGGCAUCUGUUAGAAAUUUAUAUACCACAUAUCUUCAAUCAAAAUUGUAGCGUUGCUAAGACAAACAAUAAGACGUUGUGAGAUACGACUAUACAAGAAUUACAAUCCAUCUAUUAUUACUAAGCAACAGUGCUCGUUGGCAUCAAGCAGCUGGAACUUACAAGAAAAUGCUAAAUAAACUUGAUGAUAAUAUCUUGAUCUGAUAUUCAUACAAAAGCAACUAGACAUGUCACAUGCACCUGAAAGUUUAACAAGCAGCUCUUUAGUUUGACCAAUGCAGCAUUGCGAGUUUCGCCCCACACUACAAGCUUAGCAAUCAUUGGAUCAUAAUGCAUGCUGACAGUAUCUCCUUCCUCCACUCCCGUUUCGACUCUCACUGUUUUACAAUAUGUACAUUAGGGGUCAUUGUUGAGUCAUGGAAGACGUCAAGUUCUAGAUGUGUACUAGCUUUAUUAGCUAACACUACCUAAUGUGUGUAGCAAUAAGCAUAUGUACUAUGUUUUAGUAGCAGAUAUUACCUGUUGGGGUAACAGGGACUGGCCGGUAGUGGUGUAGGGUUCCAGUUGCAGGAAGAAAACCUCUUGGGACAUUUUCAGCAUAUAUUCGAGCCUCAAAGGAAUGUCCUAGAAACAGAUAAGAGAAAUAAUGACCCAGCGUCAAAUAAGUGCAAGUCAUGAAAUGGAGUAAAGGUAGAUAAUAUGGCUAGAAUUACAAGUUUUGAAGAGGGUAUAAUAGCUCAUUCUAGCAGUUUGCACAUAGGAAUUCAAGUUUGUCAAACGGGCACGAUUGAAAAUGUGUGAUCACAUUAAACAAAGUUUACCAUUCAAGGGCACUUGUUCCUGCGUCAGGGGAAGAGGUUCUCCAUUUGCAACACGAAUUUGCCACUCCACAAGAUCUUGGCCAACGAUCAUCUCAGUUACUGGAUGUUCUACCUUCAAAAUAUUGAUGUAAAAAAUCAGGUAUUUUCUGCCGCACAACAGCAAUUUGCAUGUAAGGAUCAAGUUGCACAUGUAUAUACUAGUGCACAUGCAUACAAAAUGUAAGUUUCCCAAAAGAGUGUGUACAAGAAUAAAUUUAAUCGUGCACAUAGAAAAAUAUUUUGAAUGUGAACAUUUUAAGGUAGAAAUAGCUGAUAACAGUACGCUUGAUUAGUUAAGAAAAGCACUAAUACCUGAAGGCGAGUAUUCAUUUCCAUGAAAUAAAAUUGUCCAGAAAGCGUAUCCAUUAUAAACUCCACUGUUCCGGCAUUGUGAUAGCCAACUGCCUUCAAAUUAGUUAAAAAGAAAUAUGAAAGUGCACCAACUCUGUGAGAAAUUUGAACAUGAAAUAAAAAGAUCAAAGAGUUGAAAUAGAGAAGAGGGAAAUCCAAAAGCACCAAAUAAGUUAAGAUGGCCGUAUACACCAAGAGAUCAAUACUAGAACAAGAUAAUGAUUACAUAAUUUUGAAUUAAAAAAAUAAGGAAAAGAAACAUGUGAAAUACAAAAUAAUCUGAUACAAUUAGGUAAUAAUAAAGUUCUCAAACUACUUAAAAUAAAUUGUUUCCUUUCAAAUUGCAAUAUCAGCAAAUGCAACAGACAGUAUACCUACAACAAAGAAUAUGGUGACAUAAGUCUUAUCAGCAUAAUUAACUCAUCAGAAAUAAAUAAUUUGGAAGAAGAUAAGAGAUAAAUUGUAAAAUAAAAUUUUGAAGAGACUAAGGUACAUGCGGCCGAUUUGAGAGUUCACAAAAAGAUUAUAAGAAUACCUUAAUAGUAAGCUGAAACAAAGAUUAUAGUCACCUUAAGAUAUAAUGUAGUCGACAAAUAUCAGGAAUAUUAAAGUGCACAUGAGAGAAGACCCUCCCAGCACUCAUGUUUCAAGAAGAGAAGUUCACAGCCAAACCAGAAUUUUCUUUUUUUUCUGAUUGGGGAAAAAAAAAAAGACUUUGCAUAUUAAUGAACCAAGAUGAUGAGUUACUGAAAAUUCGGUGGGAAAAAUGUAACUGCAAAAUCCAAGGUGGUUUUAUACAGUAAAAUUACCAUUCCUGAGAGUCAAUCUAAAGCAACAAAAAUAGAAUGCAAACAAAGUAAGUUUUUGAAACACAACCAUAAAUAAUGCAUAUUAUAUGAUGCCAUCUGGAAAGAACAAAAAAUUGAACGAGAUCACAACUCACAACAUUCUCUGUAACAAUAAAUGAAUGUAAAUAUAAACACUUGAAAGAACAUAGAUGUAGUGUAAUAACUAAUAAGUAUACCAUGAUGUAAAAGCAAAGAGCCUUUGGUCCUAAGUAAGUUAAACCAUAAUAGUCCGGUAACCAUCAUAAUAAAAUAUGUAGAAGUUCAAGGAAGCAUGUAACCUUGGCAGCAGAGACAGCAGCUUCACCUAACCGGGAACGGAACUCACCAGUUACGUUUGGCUGCAAAAUGCAAUUAUCAUAACUAUGAGCAUCCUCAGAAAAAAGAAUAAAAGCAGCAACAGAACAUGGAAAUUUACCGCAGGAGCUUCUUCAAUGAUUUUCUGAUGCCUUCUUUGCAGGCUGCAAUCCCUCUCAUAUAGAUAAAUCGCAUUCCCAUGUUUGUCCCCGAAUACCUUAAUUUAGGAAGCAACUUAGCAAAAAAGCUGCGCAACAUGGACGGCCACUAAGCUUGCAGGCUAGUUUUAGUAAGUAGCAAACUAUAGAAAUCAAUCAUCCUAUAUGCAGAUUAAAAUAAGUGAUGAAAAAUGAAAAAAAAAGAAAAGAAAAAAGAAAGCAUAAAUGCAUUUUUGUUCCCACGAAGACAUGGAAUCCAGAGAAAACAAGUUGACAUGUAACCAAUUCCGAAAACGCAAUAAGUGAAAUGCGCAGUAACAGUGUCGAUAUGCAGUCAGUAGAAACACCUACUGUCCAUAUGCUAGUCAUCAUGUCGCACACUUGUGAUAUGCCAACUAACAAUAGAACAAUUAGCAAGGUUUUGGAUGUGCAAAAUGGUACCUGGACUUCUACAUGCCUUGGCUGAGUUAUAUAUUUCUCGAGCAAGAUUGUAUUUACGCCAAACGAAGCUGCAGCCUCCCGUUGCGCACUCAGCACAGAAUCAACAAAAUCUUCAGGUCUAUGCACUAUUCUCAUUCCCUAGAAAAGAAUAGUUAAUGAAUACAAAGACAAUAGAAGAGAGCGUGACUAAGAGCCUCUCUCUAACACAGAUUAUCUCAGCAGAACAUUGCCUAACGGCAUCAAUGAGAGAUCAAGCCACUCAUCACCUUUAACAACAAUCAUGAAUGUUCUUGCUACAAUUAUGGCCUAAUUAUGAACAACAAUUGCAAAUCUUUUGUAUCUCAAUAUGAUCAAAAACUGAUUUUCCCAAAUACUGUACAAAAAAUAAUUGCUGCAGGAUCCAAAGAAACAGAGACAGUCGCUAUAGGAAUUCACUGGUUUCUAGGAAAGUGAGAUGUGGAAAUAUGUUUAUAAGCCAUAAGCUACAGCAUGCAGAAUACGGUGGAAUUGAAACUGUAUCGCCAGCAAAUCUAUAUAUGAAAAGAUACAGUUUUAGAAUAUCCAGUAAUCUCGAGAAGCAGCAGGGAUGACAGCCGUUAGCAAGCAUAAACAAUAAAGAAUUUCAAAACGAGUGCAAAGGUGAACAUCACAUUCAACCCCAAGGUAUUCAUACAAGAAAUAUUGUGGCAUACCUUCCCCCCACCACCAUGAGUCGGUUUUAUCAUAAUGGGAUAUCCAAUGUUUUCAGCCUCAUUUUUCAAGAAUUCAAUAUCUUGUUCAUCUCCAUGGUAACCAGGAACAAGUGGCACUCCAGCUGCUCCCAUUAUUCUCUUUGAUGCACUAAUAUUGAGACAGUGUGAGUUCACAGUUGUAUCUUCGUCAAUUCAUGAGUCAUGACAACACAAGCAUAGGACACAAAAGUAAAACAUGCAUAUUAGAGGAAAAUUGUAAGAAAAUGAAUACCUCUUAUCGCCCAUGUCUCGGAUGGCAGACGCUGGAGGCCCAAUAAACGUAAGCCCUUCAGCUUCACAAAGCUGGGCAAACUCGGCACUUUCUGAAAGAAAACCAUAGCCUGGAUGGAUAGCCUGCAGUAUACAAUAGAGACAUCCUACGGUAUAAUUAGUUCUCAAGGACUAUCGAAAAUGCCCGAACAACUUAACUGAAUUUCAAAUAAGCAUAACAUUAUUAUCAGAAAUCUCAUCGACAAGGAUUUUACUGGCAGAUCUCCCUACAGCUGCAUAUUCUCAAAUCCUAUUACAAGUCCGCGUGAAUUAGCCCGUACUCGACAAGAAAAAGACCCAACUACGUGAAUAAAAUACAUAUAAAGCUCACCUGUUCACUCCCGGGUAGUAUAAAUUCCAGUUUUUUCUUAAAACCAAGAGUUGAUUGAAAAGUAUAAUAUACUAGAGAAACAGUGAGGAGUUGACUAUUGCAUUUACCCAAGUCCAAACUCAACUACUAGUCAAUGUAAGGAAUAAUUUGUUGAAAUUGGGCACGUCGACUACAUCAAACAGUCCAAGAUCAAUUCAACUACACUUCACAACCGCUAAAUUGAGGGGAAGACGAGGCUUACAAAAGCAAAGGCUCACUUGCGAACCCUAACCUGGGCGCCGGUUCGGAGCGCGGCGUCGACGAUGGCGGAGGCGCAGAGGUAGCUGGAGCGGGCGGGGGCCGGGCCGAUCCGCACGGCCUCGUCGGCGGAGCGCACGUGGAGGGCGCCGCGGUCGGCGUCGCUGUAGACGGCGACGGCGCGUAUCCCGAGGCGCCGCGCGGUGCGCGCGACGCGGCAGGCGAUCUCGCCGCGGUUCGCCACCAGGAUCUUCUCGAUGCUCGCCGACGACCCCUUCCUCUCCUCCCUCGCCCUCGCCCUCUCCUCCUCCCCCCCCGACGAAGAGGAGGAGGAGGACGACGAGGCCGAAGAGGACGAGGCGAGGGGGAUUCUAGGGUUAGGGUUUGGAGAAAGAGCGCGGCAUAGGGGCCUUCGGCGGCGGAGGAUCAGCGACGCCAUUAGCGAAUUCCGAUGAGGUUGCUUCGGUUGCCGGGCCUGUGCAAUCCUACUGUACUUAGUGCCGUGUUGAAUUAAAAAAGAAAAAGUUUUUUCUCGGAUAAGGAGAGAUAAAUGUAGUAGCUGACGUCAGCAUAGAAAUUACUGCGUCACACUUAGUGCCACAGCAUCAAAAAAAUAUUUUUUAAAAGUAUAUAAUAAAAAUAUAUUUUUAUUUUAUUUUAUUUUUUUAUUAGCUAUGGCUGGAUGAGUGAAUCAAAAUAUACAAUCUUAUUAGUUGGGAAUGUUACGUCAGUAAUAUAAUUAAUGCAUAUACAAUUAUUAAUUUAGUUCAGCUGUCUUAAAUUAGAGGAAAAUAUUGUAAAAUAAAAUAAUUUUGAAUAAAUUUUGAAUUAUGUUUGAAUGUUGUCCAUCUGUUUGGACGAUAUCAAAAAUAAUUUAAUUAAAACAAUAUAUUAUGUUCAAAUAUUUAUGUCAAAAUAAGAUAUCUAAAAGAUAAAAAUUAAGUAAAAUACCAGUUCUGCUUUUAGUAGUAUUAAUCAAAUACGAUUUGGUAUAUAAAAAAUUGCAAUUAAUUUUAAAUGCAAAACUUAUAAUUUAAUUUUAAAUUCAUAAUUUAAACAUAAUUAAGGUUAAUCUUAAAUAUAUAAUUUUAAGAAUAGAAGAACAAAUUAGUUCACAAACUAAGUAUGUUUGCACUUCUCUUUAGAAAAAUUAGUUUAGUAGCAUUUAAUUUGAGCAUUCAUUUGAGUUUAUUCAAAAUUGAUUCAAAUGAAGUAUAAAUAUUGACAAAGUGGAGCAUAAAUUUGAGCAUGUAUUGCACAAAUUCAAAUGGAGGAUAAAUUUGGACAUAAAUGUAGCAUACUGAAAUGAAGCAUAAAUUUGAGUAUAAAUAUUGCAAACUGUCUCUUUUAUAAAAUUAAAAAUUAAUUUAUUAAAAUAAAGUAGUACUUACGAAUUAAAAAAAAAUCAAAAUGAAAAUUCUCCUACAAAUUUUCUUAAUCCCUUAAUUUGUUCUUUAUCGAAAAACAUUUUGUUAAGGAAUCUCGAUUUCCUUUAUGUGUCACAUUUACCUCUAUUCAAGAUUUAUGAUCUUUUUAUCUCUGAGUUUAAUUUUUUUUUGAAAUUUUAGUAUUAAAAAUAUCUAAUAAAAUAUUAGAUGGAGGCAAAACUAACAAGCAAAAAUUGUAUGGACAUCGUUCCCAAACUAUUAGUUUGAGGACGAUGCCGAUGGGUGUCGCGUGGCCCGCACGGCGCUCAUCUUCACCCUCCAUUCCUCUCCGUCACCUCUCUCUCUCUCUCUCUCUAAAAAAUCACGCCAACAAAUUUUUUUCUUUUUUCCCGUUUUCAGCCGUGCGAGGGGCGUGUGCGGGCAAUGCGGCGGCGCCCAUCAGCAUCGUCCCCAUCAGUUUGGGAACAAUGCCCAUACAAUUUUUGCCCAAACUAACAUGUUUAUUAAAGGGAUUUAAUAGUGGGAGGAAAAGGAAAUACAGUUUGGGAACGAUGCUUAUAUAAUUUUUGCCCAAACUAACAUCUAUCUAUUAACUAUAUAUUAUUUUUCAAUAACUUUGCUGACGUGGCGCAAUUUUCUUACUUUCAAUUUUUUUUUAUUUUUUUUUUCUCAUUUAGACACCAUCCCUCUUUUAUAACUCACGUGUCCUUCCCUCUUCCCUUCCCCUCCCUGCGUUCCUCCAUCUUUCACCUCUAUGUAACUCUCCAUUCUUCUCUAUAGCCACCACCAGCAUCUAUUAGCUAUCUAUUAUUUUCCAAUAACUUUGCUGACGUGGCGCGAUUUCCUUACUUUUAGAAUUUUUUUUUUUUUUCUCUACCAUUCAUCUUUUAUAACUCACGUGUCCCUCCCUCUUCCCUUCCCCUCCCCGUGUCCCUCCAUCUUUCACCUCUAUGUAACUUUCUAUUCUUCUUUAUAGCACCACGAAUAUUUACUAAGGAGAUAUCACUCACCCUUUUAAUCCAAACCCUUGAAAUUCUCCAUCUUCCUUUCUCUCCCUCAUAUCCUUCCAUCUUUCCUCAUCUAUAUAACUUUUCAUUCUUCUCCAUAACCACUAUGAAUAUUUGUAAAGUUGUUCUAGAGAAUUUGUUAAUAUAAUUACUUUAUUUUUGUUGAAUGGUUAGUAAUAUUUAUCGACCACCACUUUCUCUCUCUAUACGAAUAGCUUAAGAAUUUUUGCUAGAUCUCACCCACCGUUCAAAAUCACCUCAAAUUAGUAAGGUUUUACAUUAUUUUAUAUUAAUUUCAUCUUUGAUAGAUCUAAUUUUCGACGCUAUUGAUUUCUACAACGUUCCUACCAGAUCAUUGAUCAUCUUUCUUCAAGACUAUUUAAAUUAAUAUACAUUAUUUCAUAUUUAGAAUACUAUUUUCUAUUUAUUUGAUGACUAUAUAUUUCAAAUUUAUUUUUUCAGACUAUCAUCAAUGAUCAAUGAUUAUAAAAAAGUUAACUGUUUCAAUAAUAUCUAUCCGUCGCAUCGCGCGGAUUACUACACUAGUGUUUAUUAAAGGGGUUUAAUGGUAGGAGGGAAAGGAAAUAGGAAUUUGAGGAGAUUAAAGGCCAUGCAAUUUUUUUUUUGAGAUAAUAUCUAAUAUAUUUUUCAAACUUUUAAAAAAAUUUAAUAUAUUCUUGGUGAUCAAAGUAUCUUUAUUAAUUUUCAAAAAGAUUUCAAAUAUUUUCAAACUUCUAGGACUAUGAAUGAGAUUAAGAAUUUAGAAGAAUAUUUUGAUAAUUUCAAAUUUUUUGAAUAGUAGUCGGGAGUAAAUAAGUAAAAUUUUUUUUUUCCUAUUUUUGGUCUCUCAACGCGGGAGCUUAAAGGGGCAAAAUGGGAAGCACGAGAGGUCUAUCAUGAGGUAAAAGCGGGCUUAAUGGGUUAUUUAACGAAUCUUUAUUAAUUUCUUAAAAAUUUUUUAAAUGUUUUCAAACCUCUAGCAUUUAUUAAUGAAAUUUGAGAUUUAAAAGAAUAUUUUGAUAAUUUAAAUAACUUUAAGAAUUUUGAAUAAUAGUCAAAAGAAAAACAAAAGUAAAAGCUUUUUUUGAGGAAGCUUAUAUGGGCAAAAUGGGAUGCGCGAGAGGUAGCGACGCGUUGUUCGUAACUGUUCUGUCCAUAACGUAAAAUGGGCUUAAUGGGUUAUUUAACGGAUAUUUAUUAAUUUCUAAAAAUUUGUUCAAAUAAUUUCAAACUUUUAGAAUUUACUAAUGAGAUUUGAGAUUUUUAAAAAUAUUUUGAUAAUUUCAAAAUAAUUUUAAAAAUCUUGAAUAGUAGUCAGAAGUAAAUAAAUAAAAGCCUUUUUUUUUCUUUUUUUUGGUCGCUCGACGAGGAAACUUGAAGGUGCAAAAUGGGACGUGUGAGAGGCAGCGACGCGUUGUUCACGGUUGUUCCGUCCGUGGGGUAAAAGCGGGCUUAAUGGGCGCCAGAAAUAAUCCGGUAAAUUCGAAACAAUUAGUUUCAUUAUUUUUUUUUUCUUUUGUUUGGAUACAAAAUAAGAAUAUUUCGGAAACAUCCCUCCUGCUUUUAAAAUAUCUCCUAAAAACAGCUUCCAAAAAAAUCUCUCAAACACAACCUUCAAAAAUACCGCCCAAAUACAAGCUUCAAAAAUAUCUUCUAAACACAGUCUUCGACUUUUCUACGUAUUUUUAUAAUUCCAAUCAAGUACGAUGAGAAUGAUGCUAUUCGUAUACCUAUGGAAAAAAAAAAAAUCUUACACCCUCUCAUCCAUUAUCCAAGGGUGCAUAAUGGAUCCUUAUUUUGUCAACUUUUAUGUAUAAAAUAAAAUUUUUUAAAAAAAUAUCACAAACCCAAGCUUGUAUGUUAUAUAUUCUUUUCUGGGUACAGGAGUAGGAGUAGGUAGGGAUGUCAAUAGGUAUGGAUAUCCGAAAUUUUUUUCGAACCCGAAUCCAAAUAAAACGGAUAUAUCCGAUGGAUAUGAAUAUGGAUUCGGAUAUAGAUAUAAAAAAUAGAAACCCGACGGAUAUAAAUUCGGAUAUGGAUUUUGAUUGUAUCCGACGCGAACCCGAACCCGACCCGAACCCGAAUUUAUUUUGUAUUAUAUAUAUAUAUAUAUAUAUAUAUAUAUAUAUAUAUAUAUAUAUAUAUUUGAUGUUAUAUUUGUAUUUGUAUUUUAAAAAAUUAGAUCUUAAUAUAAUAUAUUUUGAAAUAUUUGAAAAAAAAAUAAAUAUUUCGGGUUUCAAGUUUGGGUUCGGAUUCGGCGUUCGGUGAUUUCGAAUUUUUAGUCAGCGUCGGAUGUUUGGAUAUGGUAUGUUGAAAUCGUCGGAUUUGGUUCGUUCGGGUCGGUUCGGGUUGUCCAGUUUCGAAUCGGGUUCGGAUUCGGGUUUUUAAAAAUCCGCCGAAUCCGACCCGAUUGAAUCUACUAGGAGUAGGGUAGAAUUAUUUAUUUGUAUAAUAUUUUUUGUAUAAAAUACAUAAGCCCUGUACAAAAUAUGCUAUUUGAAUAAUGGCUACAUUAACGAACACAGUGGAGUGUUUUGGAUUGGCCUCUUCUUAACUCGUUUUACUUUAUUAUAGUAGGUUUUCUCUGCACUUAACAGUUAAACACACAAAUUGUUAUUCAAUUGAUGGCUCAUAUUAAGUUUAGACCCGGAUUAAAUUCUUUUAUGUUUUACUUAUUAAAUUUGAAAAUAUAAUUUGAAAUAAUUAAUCGAUGAAUUUAAUGAUAAUUUUUAUUAUUUGAUUAAAUAUAGACGAUUUUAUAAAAGUUAGAAGUAAAAAGGGUCAUGUAAAAAAUAUAUAAUAAUCGCACGGACUAUAUUUAUAAGAGAAAUGCUUGCUUACAACGUCUUACAAACGUUACACAAUACUACAUAAUUUAGGUAUUGAAUUUUAGCUUUCAAAAUUAUAAAUUAUAUUUACAUUUUUAAUUAAUACUAUGUCCAUAUUAAACACGGUCAUAUAUACAAAUUUGUAGAGUGUGGCAUUACCUUUUUUUUUUUUUUUAAAAUAGGUAGCACGCUACCUAUUUCAUUCAUUGAAAGGGUGAAUUUGGCUACAAGGAUGAGGCAACCAGAGUCUCAAGAAAACAAACACUAGCGAGUAUAAAAAAAUAAAAAUAAAAAUAAAAAUAAAUUAAAAAAUUAAAAACUUCCUUCUUUUCCAAAUCCCUAUUAAAAUAGCUUUAAAGACUGAUUAAGAUAGCUUUCAGUCAUCACUGUGGCUCUUGCUUGAGUCAUUCCAAGAAGAGAUCAGUUGCUUGAGCCUAUGCACCGUCAAAACAGGAUCCAGCUGAAUGUCGCGAAAUAUAAUGUUGUUCCUGGCCUUCCUGGCAUUACUUAUUUCGUACUUGUUUUUAUGGAAUAUGAUCUCUAUAUUUUCCACAAAAUGGGCAAUAGUUUUUUCUUUUUUUUUUUUUGGUUCAAAAGUGUGUGAAGUUUAUUUGAAUUACAUUUUAAUCUGACUAUUUAAUAUUUAAAAAUUUUAUUUAAAUAUCUAAUUUAACUAUUAUUUUAAUUUUAGUUAUUUAGAGGAUAGAUCCAUUGGAUGAGAUCUGACGAUAAAAAAUUAGUAUAUAAAAUCAAACUUUUAAUAAAAUAGAAACAUCUAAUGGCUAUAAGAAUUUUAUGAAAAAUAGAAGGUCAGAUGUUCUUAGGAAGUUAGGAGCAAGAAUUUAAGUGCCGUGGUAUGGAGUCGUGCCAGAAACUUGCCGGCACAGUGCGUACCGAAUCAUGCCGAUGCGUGCCGGUCAAACAAAUUCUUAUGUGCCGACACAUAAUAGCAUGCAAUAUUUAUUUUCUUUAGCAACAAAAUAUUCUAACUAUUUAUUAUGUCUUUUUAUUACAUCUUUUAAAUUUUAUUGAGAAAAUUACUUAUUAAUUUAAAGAAUAGAGGAUUUUGAGUUAUGCUAUCAGCACGGGAUCUGUAUCGUACCAGUAUCUUGUUGGUACGGUACGAUACGGCGGAUACGGCCGGUGCUGUGCCAGCAGCACGGGAUCUGUAUCGUACCAAUAUCUUAUUGGUAUGGUACGAUACGGCGGAUACGGUCCGUGCCGACUGGCACUUAAAACCUUGCUUAAGAGGCAUUUGACAUUAUAUUAUAAGAUGGUGGUAAUUUCGAAAAGAAAAUGUGGUAUGAGUAAAUUAGUUCAAAGAAGAUGACAAAUAAUUUGUUACGUAUUAGUAAAAAGGUUAUAAGAAUUUCAUGAAAAGAGAUAGUUGGCAUUAUAUUUUAAGCUGGUGAUAUUUUUGAAAAAAAAAAAAAAAAUUAGUGUGGAUAUGGAUUUGUUUUUAAAUAGAUAUUUUAUUACAGUGAUCGUAUCGAUAAAUAUCGUGUUAGAAAGAAAAGUGAGAAUAGACUAUUUUAUCUCUUUAAUUCAUCCAAAUACUAUAAGAGGGAGUGAGUUUAUUUAAUCCCCUCUUAACGGGUUAUUCUAGAAUAACCCGUUAAGAGGGGGAUUUGUUGUUCCACCUUUUUGGUGGAAUAAUAAAUUUUUCUCUUUAUACCUCUACUAGUGUAAUAAUAAAAUAUUAUUAAUUAAUAUAUUAUAUAUGUCAUUUUAUUAACUAAUUAGCUAAAUUAAAAAUUAACUAUUUUAAUAAUAAAAUAUUAGCUAAAUUAAUAAUUAUUUAUUAGUGUGUUUAUGCAAUAACUAAUAUCUUUAUUGAUUAAUAAAUUAAUAUUUCUACCAACAUAACUAAUUAAUUAAUUAAUUAAUUUACUAAUAUAUUAAUUUAUUAGCCUAAUUUGUUAACUUAUUAAAUUAUUUAUAGUUAGAUAAUUUAUUAAUUAACAGUACUCAUGGUUAAUUGAUUAAUGAUUAAUUAAUCUGGUAAAAUUAAUGUAUUAAUUAAUAUUUAUAAUUAUCCAAUAAUAUUCAUGAUAAAUUAAUUUUUUAAUAUUAUAAAUUUGAGAUUUUAAAAUUUUAAAAUUUAAUUUUGAUUUUUAAAAUUUAAAAGUUUAUAUUUUAAAUUUUAAAAUAUCAAUAUAAAAUAUAAAAAUUCUAAUUCUAAUAUAAAGAAAAGAAUAAUAUUAUUAUUUUUUAUUUAUAAAUACCCACUUUAAUUUUUAUUCCAUCUUAUCUAAACAAAAGCUAUUUUUCUUAUUCCAAAAAAUAAUCAAAUUUUUAUCCAAACACAAAAUUGAUCUAAUCUCCACUUAUACCAUAAUUUAUACCUAUUCCUGGAAUACCCACUUUUUGCUUAUCCCGAACCAAACGAUACCUAUCCACUGCCUUAUCCCACCAAUUAAAUAAUUUUUUUUGAAUUUAUUUGUUCUAUCAUAAUUAUAAAAAAAUGUUUUAUUAUAUUUAUUUUUUUUAAAGAUAAGAUUAAUUCAUUAUUUUAUUAAUGAUACUCGGUGAAAGUAAGAUACAGUAAAUUUUCUUCAAGAGUUGCACGUGAAUCCACGUGUACACACUCAACGGACUAGAUAAACGACAGUUGCGCAUCUCACUCACUGCGCUUGCAGAGUCACUCCUCGUUUAUUCGCCGCUGUGGUGACGUGGACAAAGAGACGAAGACGAAGAAGGAGAAGAAGCAAAUAAAUGGUGGCGAUUAUGGGAACGAUCGUGAUUGAAAACGAAAUGUAAAAGAUAAAGACAAAAAAGAAAUCGGUUUCCCGCUUCUUCUUCGUCUUCUCGUUCUUGGAUCGAUUACAAGAACAGAGGUGCGAGAGAGAGAGAGAGAGAGAGAGAGAGAGAGAGAGAGAGAUGGAUGCGUGGGGCGAUCAGAGGAGAUGAAGACUCCGGACAGUGCGAAGAAGAUCGGGGGGACUGCGAAGUCCAAGCUCGAGGUGAAUCGUCGAUUCGAUCUUGUUUUGCUGUUGAUUCCUCCUUAAUCUUGGGCGUUUUAAUCGAUAUUCGUUGGUGCUUUUCGGAGUUGUUCGUAGGUUUAGAUUAGAGAUUAGGCCUUGAAUGCGAUGGAUCGGGGAGUGUUGUGGUUGCUGGAGAGGCUUUUUUAACGAAGUUGGGUAUCUGAUCUGUUGUGUCAUCCGUAUAUUUGGAAAUGCUCGCGCUGUUCUUGUUAUUUGGAUGUUCAGAAUUUGUGAUCUACAAUGACGUUAUAGUUUAUGGAUUUGAUCUGUUCAUGUUAAUCCGAUCACCUCGUAAUAACAUCUUCCAUCUUGCAGCAUAUAUAAAUAUAUAUAUAGUUGAUAGCUUUGGACUGUGGUGUCUUAAAAAAGAAACAAAAACAAAAAGAAAUUGGACACUCAGGUGUAGGAAUUAUUUAUCCUGAUGAUUUUUUUUUUGGUACUUUAAUGCAGGAUUCCCCAGUUUACAAGUUCCUCAACAACUUAUCUCCUAUUGACGCCGUUAAAUCAGUAGGCUCACUACGCACUGUGCAAACGCUCCAGUUCGGAAAUUUUGCUCAUUCUUCUGCGUUUAGUACACCGCAUGCCGAUCGCCAAGGAGAAUCCGGACAACCGAUCAGGUAUAUAUAAUUCAGAUGUGUAGCUCGUAGCGCUAGUUUAACUCGUAUAAUCCCAUUGCUCUUCUUGCUUCAUUUCCAGGAAUCCUUUCGAUGAACCCUCUAAGCGUGAGAUUUCUCUUGGCGGUUUCGAUGGUAGCAACCGAUGCACAGGCGGUUUCGAUGGUAGCAACCGAUGCACAGGAAGUUCGAGUGAGACUCCGUUGUCUAGUUGCACAGCGUCUGCACAAGAACCUCGCAGCGUUGCAUGUUCGCUUAAUGACGCCACAAUCGAGCCUCCUAGCGGCUCUUCAAGCCUGUCGCGCAAUUUGCCUCCUCUAAUGCAAUAUGAUGCUUUUAGUCCAGACUAUAAUAAAGAACUUUGCUACGGUGUCACAACAGAUGUUAGUGCAGAUAUGGGUCCCAAAACAGUAGAACAGGUUAAGGUUGUUCCGAAUUGUUUGGAUAAUGGAAAUAUCGUGUUUGGCACUGAAAAUGUGCUUCGGGAAAAGCAAAUACCACAUCAAAAUAGAGAUGAAACAGUAGCAUCCGAGUGGGGGAAAUAUGUUGCUUCUAACGCUGGUGACUUGUCGAUUUGUGAUUCACUAACUGAAGCAGAGGCUCAUUUACUUGGGCAGAAAUUAGCAGAUAAUAAUCAUUAUUAUUAUUCACAUAAAACACAAGCUGGUAUGUCUAGUGGUUAUUAUGUCCAGAAUGUCACACUGGAUCCUCAAGCGAACAUUGUUGAAAUGGUUAAGAAAGAAGAUCGAAAGGAUCACCGACCACAAAUGCUCUCAGGUACAAAUGAGCAAAUUCAGGGAAGAAUCGAUAAGCCUAUAGAUUGCAAUACAUUAGGCUGUAAGGUACAUAUUCCAAUAAAAAAUUCUGGUAGUGCAUAUGUUGUCUCUCUUUCUGUUAUUUUAUUGUUCCUAUGUUCUUUGUAAUUCAAAUAUCAUGGAGAAUCCUGUAACCUAUAUUGUAAACUUUGUUGUCCAUACCUUAUAUAUGGUUCGAGAUGAUAAACUAUUGCAUUAACUGCUUACUGGUUAAGAUGGCUGCUAGAUCUAUUUAAUUUGUAUUAUCUUUUUCAUCUUCUUCUCCUUGCUAUACUUUUCAGGGCUUUAGUGAAAUAAAUACGUUUUGACUAUGCUGAAUGUGUUUUAUGAGCAAAUUGUGACUUUUAUAUGUUGAUUAAUCUGCCACUUACUCUUACCUGUUGUUGCAUAUAAGUUUCUGACGGAAUUUGAUUAUGAAACUAUUCAUGAUGAUGGUGCUGCUUCACAAAUUUACAAGUUUUAUAAAUCAUUUAUCCUCUUUUUUUUCGCCCAUGGUAUUAUGCUCUGAAGCUUGUACUUAUUUAUUGGUAGAACAGUCUUUCUUUCUAAACUCAUAUGUUUAAUAGUCGUUGGUGCUUCCAUGUGCUUUAAUGUUUUGCUCCUCCUCUGCCCCUUUUGAAUGUCUUAUUUUGUGGAAAUAAUGUAAGACUUCUUACACCAAGUACUCGUUGGAGUUUGUAAUUGAAUUGUGCGUCAACUUUUCUUUCUUCUCUAGGUUGGUUCCCAGCAACAACGUGGCAUGUGCAGGCGCUGUCUAUUUUCUGGAGUUUCUGGGAUAUCGGAAAAGAAUGGCGAUAGUGACUCAAAUGUAGAACCUUCAAUUUCAAAGACAUUCACCGGUAAAAUGGCUUCAGCUGGUAACAAUUUGAAGCCUGGAACAAAUACACCACCUUUUGUUUUACCCAAUAUGAGAUUUCAUUUGCAUACCUUUGCGACCACGUCAAAAGACAGAAUAGUCUCUCAACAUGCUCUGGCUUCUGGGCAACAACUAAUAAGUAUUCCAUCUGCUAUUGAACCUUUUCAUGCACCAGCGGGUGAUCAGAAAAGUGGAAUUGAGUCAUUGGGUGUUAGAAAGGAGUUGCUUCUUUCUGGGAGUGGAGUUCAGGAACUUCAGGAACUUCAGGGUAGGUAUGAUGAUCAUUCACUGGCAAUUGUGCCCGCAAGUGCUGAGAAGUUAAGUCAAGGUAGUCCCCAGAAGAAAAAGUAUGUGAUAUCCCAUCAUUUGUCUUCCUGAUUACUGCCUUUUAUUUUCUUUGUAUUUGCUUAUAAAUAGUGCUCAAUAUCAUGUGCCAGGGGCAAGUCAGAAAGUUGUGGCCAGGCUAAUGCGCGCAAGCGUUGUAGCUGUAAGAAGUCCAAAUGCUUGAAACUGUAAGUUUCUUUUGUUACAAUUUUUCAGAAUGCUCAAAUGUAAAGCACAAACCCAAAAGGGGGAAAAAAAGGGAAAGCUGGAAAAAAAAAAAAAAAGAAGCUUUCUUUGCUUUCACUUGCUGCAUUUGACCUUGAGCACCUAUAAUUGACUCCUUCCUGCUGUAUUUUAAAAGCAUAGGAACUUUUAGAAGAUAUCCUUAUAGGCUCUAAAUUUAUUGCAGACGAUAUAGCUGUAUGUAAUUUCAAUCAAGCCUCUGUGUUGAAGAACAAACGUGUAAUAAUUUUAUGUACCGAACAGAGUUAAAAGUGAAGUAAAUAUACCUACCUACAUAUCUCUGGAUAAGCAGUGGAUGUAUUUAUACUUCUAGUUGUGUAAGCCCAUCUACUGCAUUUCUUUGUGAUUACAGAAAAAUCCCAGCUUUUUCUCUGAAACCUUUAAUUAUAGCUUUAAAUCUGUUGGAAUUUUACUUGAAGAUACAUACACAUACACUUCCUUGAGAUAUGUGUUUACACUAUGUUGGAAAGAGCUAGUUGGUGCAGUCUACCAUUUGUUUUCUUUAUUUCCUUUCACUUUUACCCUUUUUCCUAGCAUCACAUGAAACCACCUUCUCUCAAGUUCUCUUUUGUGAAUCUAAUUAAGUUGUCUUAUCUUUGUCUCUUUUGACUUCCUCUUUGUGCUUUUUUUCUCUUUCUUGCCCAAUAACAUUUCCUCUCUUGGCAACCAGAAAUCUCUUGGCAAGUUAUCUCUUAUGAAUUUAAUUAAAUGUCUUAUCUUUGUCCUUCUGUUGACAUCCUCUUUGUGCAUUGUUCUCUUUGCCAAUAUAAUUUCCUCUCUUGGCAGCAGUUAGAUACACACAGUUGUGAAACUGACUUGUAGUCUUCGGCCUUCAAUCUUAAAACAAUAAUAUGUCACUGCUAUCCAACAACUAAGCACUGAACACGUCUAUACAUUAUUUAGUCAAAUUGACAUUGUUUUCUGUUUGUUUGUUUAGUCAAGAUUCAUUUGCACAUGGAUCUUUUGAUAUUUAGUUUGUUUCUUUGUUGCAUAUGUUUACAUACACAUCAUUUUCCGAUCUAGUAGGCUGUUUCUUAAUAUUUACUCCUGCUUUUACCUUGAAGACUGUCCGUCUCCUGCUGUCACUAAUUAAAUUGUAAGGUGCUUUUCAAGAAUGAAUAAGUUAUUGAAUGUUCUGAACUAUUAUAUGCUAUUGUGUAGUGGCAGUCCAGUAAGCUUCUGAUAAUGUUUUUAUUGUUUCUUUGUUCCUGUAGUUUAUUUAGACCCCUGCAUCACUAAUAUGCUGCAAACCAUGAUUCAAGUUCAAAUAAAUUGUUGAAUGUUCUGAUUUUGGCCCAUUGCCUUUCACAAAAAUUCUCAUGUAGAAGAAGGGUUUGCGAAUUAAAAAGGUCUGAAUGCUGUUAUCUACAUCUUUGUUGGGAUAUUUGUAUUAUUUUCAAUUAGUGAACUGUUUGCAUCACUGCAUGAAUCCUUUUUUCCCCACUGCUGAGAUGUAUCUUACUGAUUAGAUUUAGUAAAUGAUUGGGAACUUAAAUUUGUUAUUUGGGGUCUAAGCCACUUUUACCUGUCAAUAGUUGUCUACUAGAUAGAUAUUGUACAGUUUUUCUAUUUCUCAUCAGCUCUUGCAUUUUGGUCAUGCCCUAUUAAUAUCAAUGCAGUUAUUGUGAGUGUUUUGUGGCUGGGAUAUACUGUUCUGAACCUUGUGCAUGCCAAGGUUGUUUAAAUAGGCCCAUCCAUGAGGAAAUAGUUCUGUCUACCCGCAAGCAGAUAGAAGCUCGGAAUCCACUUGCCUUUGCUCCCAAAAUAAUUCGAACAUCUGGAGAAGGCCAAGAAAUUGGGGUUAGGCUUUGUUUCGGAAUCUGGUUUUAUGGUUUGUUUCUUCUUUUGCCUCUCUUAGACCUCUUCUUUUAUUGACAUCUUGUUUUUAUACUUUAUAGGAAAAUUCUAACAAGACUCCUGCUUCUGCCCGUCAUAAAAGAGGAUGCAAUUGCAAGAAGUCAAACUGUCAAAAGAAAUACUGUGAAUGCUAUCAGGUUCUGCGUCAUGACUUAGUAUAAUUCCAAACAUUGCAUGUUGUCUGAUAGUGAUUGUCCUUUUUCGUGUAACACUUAAAGGCCAGUGUUGGGUGCUCUAUUAACUGCCGGUGCGAGGGUUGUAGGAAUGCUUUUGGAACAAAGAAUGGUGAGUAUAACUCUUUUAUGCGACUUUUUAUUCGAAACAGUUUUAGUCGUAGAUACUUAGACUGCAUUCUUUGAAACAAUUAUAUGCAAGUAAAAUCAGAUAAAUUAACUUGUGGGUUUUGUUUUACUAAAUAUUUCAUCUUAACACUUCAAACAGUUGCUUGUCCUAUAUUUUGGGUGUUUAUAUUGGUACUAUCAGCGCAAUUUUAAUUUUAUUCUAUUGUAACUUUUUUAGUUGUUUUGUGUGGUGAAUUUUUUUUUUUUUUAAUUAUUUGGCCAAUUUGGUUUUCGUUGGAACUUUGAAGGUUUUUAACUCGACCUACUCUACUGGGAAGUUGAGACUUCAUUAAAGCUGCCUCCUUUCUCUUCUUUUUUCUUUUUUUCUUUUUUUUGGUUAUUUGCCAUCUCCCAUUGCAUGGGAUGAAGAUCAUAUGCCGUACGUUUCACAUAACUUAGGGUAUGCUAAGGUAGCUGGUGAGUUUUGGCGAUUAAUCUGAUCUACUUCGAAGAACAAAACAAGGGAUUUGACUAGGUGUUGGUGUAAUGGAAAGGUGUGGGGAAGUAUUAUUAAAAAUUUAGCAAAUUCUAAACUGAAAUCCUAGUUGAAUUGGAUUGAUAAAAUAGAAAGGUUCGGAGUAAUUUCUAGUCUUAGAUUAUUUAACUGCUCUGACACUGUCAACUUGAUAUUCUUUAAUAUGUAAUAAAAUGACCAAAAUUUUAUUGCAGCACUUACUUAGUGGUUAUCUUAUUGCCUUGUUUUCCUUUCCGCAGGUAUUGUGCCGAUAGUUAUUGAGGAAAUCGAACAUGGAAAGCAAGAAAAGGAUGCAUGGGAGAAAGAAAUGGAAGAGCUACAAUGUUACGAGCUUAAUGUCGAGAAUGAAGAACAUCAGUCUUUUGAAAAUUUACCCAUGAUACCUUUCGAAGCUCGCAGGUCCAUUCCUUCGUACCUAUUUAGCUAGCUUGAUAUCGGUAUAUUUCUCAAUUUCUUAAAUAAUUUGUGGAAUUUUCUUUUCAAUCCCCCUUUUUCAGACCGCUGGCUGAAUUGCCCAACUUCAUAAAUGCAAAGCCGCUGCGAUCUUCUGCAAAUAAUGCUGAAUAUACUUCGCAGCACAAGUUCUACAGUCACCCUAACCCCGUUCUCUAUGAUGGUGCGUCGGAUGCUGCAAGGGGUAAAGAAAAUGAACCCCUGAGUUACGGAGUGAAGAUACUUUCACCGAAUCGAAAGAGGCUUUCACCUGCGCGUGAUCGAAGUGGGCUGGGUCAUCUCCGUUGAGAAAAUGCGCCUAGAGAGCAAUGCUAUGAUUCAUUCCUUCAUGAUUAAUUCUGAUAAUUAUAUUAAUUCUUUUACCUGAUCCAAGAUUAAGCUAUGAAUCUGUUAUGAAGCUGCCGAGUUCAUUCUAAUGCUGGUUGUUUAUUAAGUUUCCUGGCAGCAAGUUUCCUGGCAGCAAUGCCUGAGAUUACCGCACUCGUCUUCAUUUGAUAUCAUAACCUGAAAUUCUUUCUGCUGCUUGACUUGCAUCAACGGUGAAUAAUUUAGCGAGCGAGUGGUAAUGUGUAAAAUGAAUGUUUGAACUCUUAGUAAAAUGUCUUAAUGUGUGUCUAUAUUGAGUCGAUAUUCUCGAUAAUCAUCAGCUGUUUACUUCGUAGUUUUCUAAGUCUAUUUUGUUUGGCCGCCGCACUUUAUGAUAUCUUCAUUUUUCUGAACUUUUUGAAGGUUUGAUGGCCGAAGCGUAAUUUGGCUAAAAUUUUGCAGAGUCUGGUAUAUUUCUACUGUUUUGGCGUAUUAUACGAUAAUAAUAAUGGAUUGGAUGUCCUUCAUUAUAUUCUUCAAUAUGAAAAUUUUAUGCAAAUCAUUUUAAAUUUUGAAGGUUGAGAUUGGAUGUGUGUAUCAGAUGGAGUUAUCUAUCAUUCUUAUCAUUUUUUUUUUCCCUUAGGUGUUUGGAACUUGCUAAAUUUCUACCUGAUUAAGCAUCCUGGAAAUUGUUUUUGAUGUAAAAUUAAUACAUAAAAUUUAUCUUCUGCUUCAAUCUUGUGCUGUGCUAUAUUAUUAUUUUUUAUAGUUUUUUAGAUAAAAUAAUAAAAAAUAAUAAUAACUAAUUUAUCAAAAUAAAAUAUUCGAGAUGGUGUAGCAGCUAUUGACCUGUCGUUUAAUAGCUGAGGGCCUGAGGCCUGAGUUAUAUCUCACCUUUCUGUGACAUUAUUAUUGUAUUUAUUUUAUUAAUAAAAUAAAAAUCUGACUUGUAAUUUAACCCCAUCUCUCUCUCUCUCUCUCUCUCUCUCUCUCUCUCUAGGGUAGAAUUAGAAAGUAACAUGCCCGAGCCCUCGAAUCUCACCCACGUGAAGAGCGCAUCAUCUCUGACCCUACAUUUUAGAUCCAAGGGCUCAUAGCAUCCAUCACCCUCCCUCCCCAAACCCCUCUCUCACGAGCUCCCGAUCCCAAAUCUCGCCCCCUCCGCCGCCGCCGCCUCCGCCGCCGCCGCCGCCGCCGCAGCUCGAUCUCUACGAAACCCUAAACUCCGAUCGAAUCUCUCCUUCGCUGAAGCGGGAUCGACAUGGCCACCGAGGACACCUCGGCGUCCGAGAACCCGCCGAUCGAUCCGCCCCUCUCGCCGCCGUCCACGUCCGAUCCCGAGGAGCCCCGGAUCGAUCCCGCGCCCGGCGACGAGAAGGACGCGAAGGACGCGGACGGCCGGGAUUCGUCGUCCCAGGCGACCGCCGAUGUUCUCAGCGUCGAGGUGGGGUUGGAUCAAGGGAAGAGGUAAUCUAGGGUUUAGCAUCGUCGUUUUCUCUCCAAUUUCGCUUCUUGCACUACCGAUCUUGUGUUGCCCCAACAUGAUGGUGAUAAUGCCGAGACAGGGAAGCUCCGGAGGACGGCGGAGAAGGCAACGGAUGCAGGCGCUGCUCCUGCAAGAAGUCCAGAUGCUUGAAACUGUAAGUGCUUGUUUCGAUGUCGGAAUGAACUUUUAUCCUGAGUAGUAUCACUUUGGAUCCCCAAUACGUAGAGCAAUGUAUGAAUUUCAAACCCUUUAUGCUUGCUUAGCGCGAAUCGAACACGCCACCGGGCUAGCUUACCUUUCAAAAUUAGUUCUUUCGUUAGGUUUUGGGCGAUCGGAUUUUGCCUAAAAUUCUAUCAUCUGUUAAUGGGGCGUAGGGGUUGUUCUCGACCGCAAAAAACACAUGCUGAGUGUGAGUGUGCGACAUGCUAAACGUGAUUUAAUGAAAAAUUUUAAUGGUGAAGUUCUACAAUUUGAACCAUGGGUGUUGUACAGCGGAAUCAGGUUGUAUCACUGCAAUGGCAGAGGUAGCUAAACAUUUCUAAUUUUGAUAAUGUUGCUCCUUUUCGUGGUUUAUUAGAUAAGAAGGCUCCAUCUUCUUAAAAAAAUUGGAUUUGCAGCAAAUGUGUGUUGACUAAUAUGUGUUAUUAUCUUUGCUGCUGUUAUACAUUUCGUUUCCGAGUUUCCGCUGGAUGUACUAUUUCAAGUAGUUCCUUUUGGAAAAAACUAUAAUAUUUUGGAAAUCUGAUUUUCGAACGUAAGACCUUUUUCCGGUCACAAAUUAUCCAUUUUCAAUUCUCAGUUGUCAUCAUAUCGUAUUGCAUUCCCCUGCAGUUACUGUGCCUGUUUUGCCGGUGGAACCUACUGUUCUGAAUCCUGUGGAUGCCAGUUAUGUUUCAACAAUCCCACUUAUGGGGAAACUGUUCAUUCUACUCGCAAGGACAUAUGGUUACGAAAGGGAUGUUCAUUUCCUUUGAAAGCGAAUGAAACGUCUGAAGCUGCUAGUGGUUCGAAGGUAUGUACUUGACCAGAGAUUUCUCAGAUAGGUAAAAAUUAUGGAUACCCCUCCACUGUAGAGUUUCUUUCUUUUUUUUUUUAAAAAAAAAAGCAACUCAAUUUUCUUAUUUUUAUUAUUAUUUUUAUUUUUAGUGAAACCCGACAGAUUUUUGUUGUUUUGAUUGAAAUUUAUUUCUGUUAGCUAAGUUAGGGACUCGAUUAAAAUUGAUGGUUCUGUUAGCUAUGGGCUGUUGGUUUUGAUGGGAUUGUAAUCUCUGAUUCAACUAGUUGAAAAAAAAAGCUUGAAUCAAAGCAGGCAAAAGUUAAGGGAUUGUGAAUAAAAGGAAAAUUUCAGGACUUCAGAGGUCUAUUUGGAAUGGCCUACAGUUCGAAAGCCUCUCUUUACUAUACAAAUUUUACUGUUUGGAUAUUGUUUCGUCUUUUCCCUCUGUUAACCUUAUUUCCUUUCAUACCAUGUAGAAAGAUACAAGCAAGUCUCCUUCCUCAUCCCAGCGCAAAAAAGGAUGCAAUUGCAAGAAGACGAGUUGCCUAAAAAAAUACUGCGACUGCUUUCAGGUAUGUUAUCUUCGCUCUCCAAACCUGGCAUUAUCUUCCAUUUUAUCGAACUAAUGAAUUUCAUUUUUUUCCUGAUUGUAAGGGCGGCAUUGGAUGUUCGCUACUUUGCAAAUGUGAGGAUUGCCAGAAUAUCUUUGGGAGAAAAGUUGGUAAGUGUCAGCUUAACUUAUUCAACUAUAGCUAAUUAUUACUUUGCUGUAUAUAACUUUUAUGUAUAAUUUAUUUUUCGUGCCCCCUCCUACAAAUGUUAUGAUUUUCGCUGUCCAACCUGAAAUUGUAGAAUUUAUUCUGCUCCAUUGACCUACGAGCAAAGUGAUAUAUCAAAUAGUGGAACACUAACGAAGGAAGCGAACUGAUGAAACCUUGGUAUCAAGGAAGUAGGAACUCAGGAGUGAUUAAAAAAUUAGAGAAGUCAUUAAGUGUAUAUAUCCUGCGUUAUAGCCAGUUUUUCUGGAUUUACUGCAAAAGUAGAAUCUUCCUUAUUAUUUAAGUCUUUAAGAUAAGGGUUGGAUAGGAGAUUUUUUCGCAUAACGUUCGUUUACGCUAUACGUCCGAAUCUGGUAAAGAGGAUGAUGUUCUGUAAUGUUUUAACGCAUUUAUCGUCAAACAAAACAAAAAGACAUUAUUUUCAAACGUUUUUGAGUAGACACAUUUUUUGUUCAGUGGAAUUCUGAUUCUUUGCUAUUCACCUGUAUGAGACUAUAGUAGACAUGUUAUUCAUUUUUGGGAUGCUGAAAGUCAAAUACUUUCUUCCGAAAAAGGUGGCUUUUUAGAGGGACAAAGAAACCUCCCUUCUAUCGGAUGGAAUGACGACGAUUAUAGCGACGACGAGGAAGAUGAUUAUACAAUUGCAGCGCGUUCACCCUUUCAUCAAUCUCCGUUCUCUAGGGAGUCCUCGUUCCAUCAAGCGAAUCCGGAUGUUAAAGCAGAUAUGAUGAAUGGCCAAAUAUACUGGCAACUAUCGCCACUAAAGGCACAGCCAUGGCAUCGCGUGAAGAGGCCUAAUGAGGAUAGUGUUGCAGAUAUUUCGCAUAAGCGGCACUUGAAGAACGAAGACAAGUAUACUAUUUCUAGGUGCAUUGAGGUGAUGAGUGGGAUUGCGGAACUUUCCCAAGAGGAGAAGUCGCUAGCCCCCGAUGUCUUCGUGGAUCCUCAUAAUCGGGAAAUAUUUCUCUCACUAAGCGGUGAUGUCCGAUCCAUGUGGUUGAGACGGAAGUUGGAACAACUUUCGUAGGGACAUGGCGCUUGUGUUAAUUGUCUCCAUGUAGGGUGUUUUAUGUUGUGCAUUAAGUGUAGGUCAUGCUUCUUGGCUUUAGAGUAUGUACUAAGUUAAUUAUUAUGUAUGUGAGACUUUUAGUCUAUUAUAUAAGCUUUUCUUGCAAGUAUUUGUAACAUCAUACUCCCUUACUAAUCGAUUUGACUUGGUAUUUCUUAUGCUAUAGUUAAAUGCUAGUUUCAUAUGCGCAAUUAUUUGGAUUGGAACUUGACAACUUUUAAAAAGGUGUACCACUACAUUGCUUGAUCCAAUUUGUUUGGUGAGUUUGGGCUCAACCACAACCACAACCACAACCACACAGAAACACAAUAAGGCCUUUGUAGCACUUUCCAACCCAAAAUAAGCUGGUUGGUAUGCCCCAAUUUACAACUUUCCAAAAGAUGUUAUCUGAUGAAAGCAAUGUAUGCAGUGAAGCUGUUUCUUCUUUCCUUUGGUCAAUAUGUGAAAUAUGUGCCUAAGAAACUGUGGAGUCUAUUUUGAUGCUUAUAAAUUAUUACUCUUGGCAAAAUAUUCGUAUUUUCUCACCCUUUCAGCUUUGUUAUUCACAUAAGAUGUGCGCGGCAUUGAUCUUCUUUUACUUGCUUUUGCAGUUUGUAUGUAUUCUAUAUUAUUGAAUGUAGAACUGUUUGGUUGAAUUCAAGUUAUUAUACUCCAGAUUUUUGGGAACAAAUUGGUACUUAUGUUGUGAAGAGGAAAAUGAUUAUUACAAGCUUUAUGCAAAUGUAAGAGGCUGAGCUGUGUUCAGUAUAUAAAGAAGCUUAAUUUCUUGCACUUAGUCAAUGGUGGGGAUUUACAUUUAUAAGUGCCAACCCACCCAGGCCCACCCCCACCAACCCUAUUGAUGCUUUUCUCAGCUUUUGUGUGGUUAAUUUUAUUUUGCAAUAUAAUGCCUACCUUUAUUUUUUUAUUAUGAUUCUGUUUCUGCUAGAUUUGAGCUGCUUCAGCAGGUAGCAGAAAAAAAAAAAAGAAAGUGUGUUCUACUUAAGCUUUGGCACUUAAUAGAGGUCACAUGAUGUGCGCAAAUAAAUCCUGGUUUGGAACUUUGGAUGGUUAAUUGCACCAUCUUUGGCGAACUUCAAAAUUUAUCAUGAAGUUUCAUUUAGAUCGUCGAAAUUUAAUUUGUGAUAAUUUGAACCACUGAACUUGAAUUUGAGUUUAAACCAUGUUACGAUUUUCUAAGAGUAUGAAUGGCGUAGUAAUUGAUUUAUUACAAUCAAAGAUGGUGCGGUGAUGAUGUUUUAGUUAAUUUAGCUGGUACGUUCGUUCUCGAAUCGAACAUGGUUCAAUUUUCAUAUAUGAAUGAAUAAUUAUGUUGCAAUCGUGUAUAUCGAGCUAACACAUAAUUUCGCAAUUCCGAUGCAGUUGACAACUUACAUUUACAAAAAAAAUUGUUCGAGAGGGGAAAUAAAUAAAUAAAUAAAUAAGAUUAAUUUUCUCUCUACAGCUGCAAGGAAUCAAUGAAACCAUGUCCCAUACAUACAAAAACGCUACGCCAAAGUCCAAAUAAUACAAAACACAGAUAGGAUCCAUCAUCCAUCACCCACAUAUGAUUCAUAUAUAUCCAUGUGAAUGGUCUAAUUCACCACCCCCCAUUUCUCAUACAAAAAUAUCAAAAGGGCACAAAAAGGGUGUCCACAAUAAAGACAAAAUUAAAAAAAGCUGGUCGGUUUCUAUCAAUAAAAAUCAGAUCUAUUUAUGGUCCCCUUAUGAUAUGUAUGUACAUUAUACACACAUACAUACAUAUAUAUUUAUUUAUGAUGACCCAUGGCAAAUAAUUAGUUCACGUAGAACAAAUACAUUUUGGAUCCAUUAAUGAUUCACUCAUGUCGAUGAGAACGAGGAUGCAUGAACCGUGGAGCGUGUGCAUGUAGGGUUAGUGAUAAGAUUAGGUCGAAUCUUGUCACCUUUUCUUUCGAUUUUGUGUUUUGCAAAGAAGUGCAAGAAAGUGAGAAAUUUCUAUUGUAGUUUCGUGCGGAGAAAAAUUCUAUAUAUAAAGCAUCUGGCUCACGUAUUUUGAAGCAGAAUACAUUCGAAUUAUCCAUAUAAAUGUUGAUGAUGGAAUCAAUUAUGAUAUGUACGGCUAUUUACUUACAUAUGAAGAUUGCAUAUUGAGAUGGAGGAUGAAAUCGAGUGAGAGAUGAUUGAAGAAGUUGAGAGAGAUUGAUUAAGGGUCGGGCUGUAGGGUACAGUGUUAUUUUGGUAAAAAUACCGUCAAAGUAUUACUUCUGAAACUUGAAAUCUUAUUUCAAUUUAUGACCAUAGUAUAUAUCGCAUCUUCUCUGCUUGUGAAAUACUCCAUUAAUGACAAAUAAAAUAGCUGGAAAUAGAAGCAAAAACAAAAGUUGGUUCAAUAGAGGCUUAGAUCAGUAGUUUGGACUCAAUGUAUUGCAUUACUUAUCAUAGAUAAAAACCUUGUGGUGUAACAUUAAAGUGCCCUAAGAAAGGGAAAAAGUCCCUCCUUGUGUUAACCUUGCUCUCACUAUCACAAAUGGUUCUUUUUUUGUUUUCUAUUUUAGAGAGAAAAAUAUACCACUAUUAAAAAUUCAUUCUUUACCAACAAAAAAAUACUGUUGCAAUUGAGAACUAUUAGUUGUUAUAUAUAUAUAUAUAUAUAUAUAGAGAGAGAGAGAGAGAGAGAGAGAGAGAGAGAGAGUUUGAGCUAGGAUGCUUUUACAAGCACAACACACAAAUCUCACGCAUAGGUGCUGAUUAUAGGAUCUUUUUAGCAAAAUAGAAAUAAUAAAGAUACUCUCUUGAUUACUAAUAGUCCUUGAUCACACUAUUCCACUAACGCCAUUUCAACUCCACAUUCUUACAUCUAAGGACUAAAACACUAAAGCCACGCCAGACCAUGUACUGUGAAAAGUAUUUAACAGAUACUAAA
rnacentral:lncRNA from 1 species